rnacentral:lncRNA from 1 species
UUUUUUUUUUUUUCGUUUUGUAACUUUUACACUACGUUUGGUUGGAUGGAAUUGUUAUUCUAUUCCGCCCAAAUUCCACACGCUACAGUAAAGCAGCUGUUUGGUUCACCGUUUAGGUGAUUCCACGGAAUUGCUAUUACAGUCUCAUUCCCUCAACUCACCGUUUAGGUAUUCAGGGGUUGGGGGUCUGAAUACCUAUUCAACACCACACCGUUUAGGUUUUUGGACCAAAAUAGUCUGCCUCUCUUCUUCCUAAAAUUCUCUCCAGAUUUCUUCCUCAACAUUUAUCUCCAAAUCAAGUCAAGCAUUCAUUCGCCCUUCAUCUUCAUCUCUGAUUCACUUCUGUUUCACUUUUGUUUUCCUUGUUCUCUUCUACAUUCAGCGAAGGGGUGCUCUGAGGUUAGAUCUUUUCCUUUCUUUGGCUUUUUAUGUCCAUCUAGAGUUUUAAAGGCUUGGAUCUCUCUUUCAUUUACCUUUUCUUUUUCGGUACAUAGGAAACAAAGAGGAAUUUUGACUUUUGGUCUACAUUUCUUCCAAUACUAGCUUUUAUUCAAGGUCUACUCUCGAUUUCUUGUUUUUCUUGCCUAGAUUUUGCUUGCUUGUUCGAUUUUUUUCCCCAAUUUUUCCUGCUUAAGUUAAGCUUGAUCUUGAUGACUAUCAAUUCAUUUUCUCUUAUGUUGAUUGACGAGAACUAAAAGGAAAAAAAAAGUAAAUUAUUUAAUAUACAUAUAUGUAUGUCUUGAACUAGAUUCUGUGCUUUCUGUUGAUUAAAAUAUUAUAAGCAUGGUUUAGAUGCUUUCUGUUGAAAAACGAUUUAAGUGUGCUUUAAGCGAGGCUAAAUAGAAGGAAAAGAUUUGUGUAGUUGGCUCAAGAGUUAUGCUUUAAGCAUAAAAAGGUGAUGCUUGGAUAAACGGUAUCUGGGCAAAACUUUUCCAGAUAUAGGUAGUGGUUAUAUGAAGAGAAACCACUCCUCUUUGAACUGCAGCAAGAUGUAAGAGCUAAAACUCUUCAAGGAGAGUGGGCCAGCUUAUUGUCUGCUACUGUUGCCUUAAUUGGCUCACUCAAUCCUUUUAAGAGGUAAGGGCUUGGUGUCAGUCUUUAGUUUGCCCAUUAUCCAAGUACUCCCAGUACAUUUCUUUCAGAUAUUUAUUCCCUCUUGUAGAUGUAAUAUUGUGGACGUAAUUUCCUUGAAUGUGAAUCCUCUACUAAUAUCCCAUGAUUACUGAGUUUGAUUUAUAUUCUUGGAGAUGUUUACAAGCAAUCAUGUUCUCGAGUGUCAAGUAAAAAUGAGUUGAUUUAUGUACUUGGAGACUUGAAAUCAGGUUUUAGAAUGGCUUAUUAAUAAUUAUUUUUGUUUUCGUGAAUGAUCGGAAAACAUUGCAUUCAGUGAUUUCAGCUGGUAUGGAUUAACCGACUUGUUUGUUUGAUGACUAAAUAUCAGGCUGCUGAAGAACCUGGGAGUAAUUCAUCCAGUAUAGCAAAUCAACCAGUUGAAAAACGUGCCAAUUCACCAAGGUAUAUAUGUUUUCCUUUUGUAUCUACUCUUGUAUUUGUAGGAUGUAUUUAGGCCCUUAGCCUUCAAAAUUAUGGAACGUAGGGUUCACUGACCAAGUGCUGACUGAGUUCUAUCUAUUUGAGUGGCAUAUUUAAGUACAUUCAAGUAGAUAUGUCAAUUGGGUGAGUGGGAUUAGUUUUGGCUUUGGUCAAUUCAUGUUAUAAAAUUUUUUAGUCACUUCGGUUCUGGUCAAUUUCAUGUUUGGAUCAAUUUUAUGUUGGGGUCAUUCCAAGUUCAGGUUAUUUUGGGUUUGAGUCAUUCAGGUUUGAUGCUAAGGUUUUUCGAGUCAGAUUAUUUUCUGCACUUGGUAGUUGCAGUAUCACUGUAAUCUGUUGUACAGCCCUUAAUCAAUAUGUUGUUUAGUUGCAUCCAUAGUUUAUUGAAAUUGUCAAACUGUCUCUUAUGUGGCUAACUAUAGAUGAAAAAUCAUUGUUUCAAUAGGCUGAUCAAUCAGAAACUAUAGUCGAGAUCAUUGUAGAAGAUGGCAAAGCAGUCAGCAUUUAUUCGGUUAGCAUUCUUUGCUACCUUGAUUCCAAAUAAUGUAUAUGGAUGGAUGGAUGGAUGGGUAUUGAAUUGUGGAUUUGAAAUAAAUUUGAUUCUUUUUCCUUUUUCCUCUUAAUUUUUUAUAAGCUUUUCUGUUUAAUGUUUUGAGUUUAUUUUAAUCAAUUUUGUAUCCUUUCGAUGUGGUGGUGUCAUCUCGGUAUGGUGUUUAGGAAUGUUUAAUGGCUUGUCCUUUGCAUUUUUGGGUUUCCAAAUUGUUAAAAAAUAUUAUAGUGGAGAUGCUCAAAUUGGGUUAAAAUAAUUAAAUUGGGUUUAAUUUUUUUUUAUAGUGGAGAUGCUCAAAUUGGGUUAAAAUAAUUAAAUAAAAACUAUUUUUUUUCGAAUGUGCUCCAAUAAUGAUUAAAUUUUUUUAAAUUGGUCAAAUAAGGAUUAAUGUAUUCAAAUAAUGGUUUAAUUUAGUUAAAUAAAAGCAGUUUCAAGUUAUAUUUUUACUUUUUAAAAAUAAUAUUAGGUGUAUUCAAAUGUAAAAAAGUAUUUACCUACUUGGAUGUUAUAUCUAUGUUUGGGAGUCAUACGUUUAAUGGAGAAGAUGGUGAAAGAGUGUAUGGGGUUACUUUGGCUGGUAAAGCUUUUGUUAAUGACGAACAUAAUGGAUCUUUGGCUGUUUUUACUAGCGACAAGGCCAACAUUGAAGUCUGGUAAGUUCUAUAUUUUGGUAUAAUCUCAAUUAGUCUUCAGCGGUUACAUCUUAUUAAAAAUAAAAAUAACCCCCGAAGUUCUUAUAGCAAAUCAAUUAUCACAAUGUUGAGACUAAUACUACUUUGUUAAACCACAUUAAAUUAAAUUGUACUGUUAAGUUGGAAUCUAGUUUAUGGAUGAAUAUGAAUUAAUCAACCCUUCAAAUAAUAGUAAUGAUUUUAAAAAUCAAAGUUUGAAAUUAUGUAAUUUGGAUGUGGAUGUAUUUCAAGAUUAGAUGUUCAUUAUUAAUUUCUCUUUUAAUGUUCAAGAUAUUAUUAUUUGCUAAACAAAGAGUUGAUUUUGUUGAAUGAAAUUUGAUAAAUAUGUAUUGUUCAUUUUUCUUUGACAAUGCGUUAUUACUUCCUUUUCUUAUUUGGCUUGCUUGAUUGCUUCCUCCACUCACAAUUGAGCUUCUUGUACUCACUAAACUACUAUAAGUUCUUUAAUCAAUUAAAUUCUUUGAUUUUGUUUUACUUUUAUUGAAAUUAGGAUUGAAGAAAUGUGACAUUUUUACUAUGAUUUGAAGAUAUGUAACACUUUAAUAUCUUGCAGUAAUGGCUCGUCUGCCUUUAAUAGUACAAAGUGUGAGGCGUAAAAGAAUUGGUCUUGCAGUAACAAUAUGGUUGCAACUGUGUACAAUUGCGAGUUGGUUCUUACUUACAUUGGGUGCCAUCCAUAGCCUACAUACUUAUAGACCAAGGAUUAGAUCCUAUAUUUUAGAUUUUUAUGCAAAACGAGAUUAUGUGAAAAGACUUGUAUAUGCUAGUGACGAGACCUGUACUGAACAAGUUAGGAUGAAUAGAAUUACAUUUUUUAAACUAUGUGAGAUGUUAUAAACUUUAAGGGGAUUGAAGUCGUCAAGGAACAUGCUUAUUGAUGAGCAAGUGGCAAUGUUUUUACAUAUCAUUUCUCAUCAUUUUAAAAAUCGAGUUAUCAAGCAUCACUUUAAUAGGUCUGGGGAAACCGUUAGCAGAUCAUUUCACAAUGUUUUAAAUGCUGUCAUACGCUUACAAGAUGUGCUAUUUAAAAAAGCAGAGCCAAUUACAGCUAAUUCUACAGACCCAAGGUGGAAAUGGUUCAAGGUAUUAGAGUGAGUUUUAUAUAUAGCUCGUACAUAAUUUAGUUGACUUAGAUUUAAAUAUAGUAUCCUAACUCGAGGUUUUCUGCAUGUGAUAUAGAAUUGUUUAGGUGCUUUAGAUGGAACCCACAUCAAGGUUAGGGUUCCAACAGUUGAUAAAUCUAGAUAUCGAACGCGAAAAGGUGACAUAGCAACAAAUAUGUUAGGUGUUUGUACACCUGAUAUGCAAUUUGUUUAUGCUCUUCUUGGUUGGGAAGGUUCUAUUACUGAUGGUAGGGUUUUUUGAGAUGCCAUUAGUAGGAAACAUGGAUUAAAAGUUCCUCAUGGUAAAGUGCAAAAUUAGAAGACUUUGAAUAAAUCUUUAAGAUCAUACUUUUUUGGGAAAUUAAUCAUGACAAAUAGUUUUUUUUUAUAAGUUGUUAUUAUCUAGUUGAUGCUGGAUACACAAAUUGUGAAGGAUUUCUUGCACCUUUUAGAGGACAAAGAUAUCAUUUGAAUGAGUGGCGUCAGGGUUACCAGCCAAGUACUCCGGAAGAAUUUUUCAAUAUGAAACAUGCUUCAGCGCAUAAUGUUAUUGAAAGAUGCUUUGGGUUAUUAAAACUUAGAUGGGGAAUACUUAGGAGUCCAUCGUUUUAUCCUGUGAGGGUGCACAAUAGAAUCAUUAUUGUCUGUUGUUUGCUCCAUAAUUUUAUUCAAACCUAUAUGAGUCUUGAUCCUAUUGAAGCAGAGUUGGGAGAAGGAUUACCUAGUAAUGUGAUAGAUGACGAUGAUUCGAAUAUCGUAAAUAUUCAUCCAUCAGAUGCAUAGGCUACUUGGAGGAUGGAACUAGCCAACCAAAUGUUCGAUGAAUGGCAAGCAUUUAGAAAUUAGUUAGGUUUAGGGUAAAAGUAGUAAACGUUAAUUCGUUUAUGUUAUUUCAUGAAUCUAGUUUAUGAAACUUUGGUGGUGUUUGAAUUAUUUUUUUGUAUUGUACUAGACUUGUUGAAUUAUAAAUUAUUUUGUAUUGAUUCAUCAUGUGUUAUAAUUUUAUAAAGUGUUCACUUUUUUAUUCAUAAUAUUGAACUUAUGUUUAAUUUUUUUUCCUUAAGAUAAUUAUGUCAAGUUUUUCACAAGCAAAUGUUUCUUCCCAAAAUUCUCGAGGAACCAAAAGGAAAUGGCUUCCAGAAGAAGAUGCUGCGUUGGUUGCCUGUAUGGUCGACUUGCACAAUGUUGGAACAUUUAUGCUGAUACGGGAUUUAAAGCCGGUUAUUUAAAUGAGUUGGAAAAAAUGUUAGAAAAAGUUUUACCCGAUGCCAAGUUGAAGGCUAAACCUAAUCUUGAAUCGAGGAUAGGACAUUGAAAAGGGAUUGGUCAAUCGUUUAUGACAUGCUCAGCGGAAAAAACAAUAGCGGUUUUGGUUGGGAUGAGAAUAGACAGCUUGUUGUUGCUGAAGAUGCGGUGUGGAACUCAUAUAUAAAAGUAAUAAUUAUUUCAAGUCUUUAUUAUCUUAAUUUGACCAAACUUAUAUCUAAUAUGAAUUCUUUUUUUUUUUCAGAGUCAUAAAGAAGCCGCUCAAUUCAAACAUCGUAGUUUCCCUUAUUAUGACCAACUUACAGCCAUCUACGCAAAAGAUCGAGCCACUGGGAAAGAUGCUCAAACAGCCGCUGAUAUUAUUGAAGAAAUAGAUGCUGAGGAUGUAGCUACUACAAAUACUCAUGAAGAAAGAAAUGAUUUUCAUGGAUGCGAAGCUGAUGUUUCUUUGGAUGACAUGGAUCUUUCAGGCACACAACAGCAACCAGCUAUAAACCAAGGUGAUUCCACAUUUUCAAAGAAGAAGAAAAAGACUUUCGAUGCAAGUGAUCAUAUUUCAUCUACUUCAUUUAAUGAUGCUGCCACUUUAUUAGCGGAAAAGAUCGAGACCGUUGGCGUUGAAAUCAGUAGGAGUAUUGCUUCCGAGGUGCUAAUUUGAACAAAGGUCAGAAAUGACACUUCAAGAAAGUGCUCUAAAAUUAUAUCCAAUAUUAUGUAAAGUAGAAGGUUUAACUGAGGAUGAGCGUUAUCGCGCUUUGAGCAAAAUUUCAGAUAAUCCAACGCAAAUACUCAUUUUCUUUAGUUUACCUUCUUCUGUGCGAUUGGGAUGGGUCAGAAGAUUUCUUGCUGACCAUUAAAAAAUUAUAGUUGUGUUGAUGAUAUUUUGGUAACUUUUUGUUUUUGUGAUAGUUGGAUGGUACAAUGACAUGAUAGAAUGUCAUUACAAUGUUGUAACUUUUUGAGGUUGUAAAAUUUUAUAACAUAUGGAUUAUGACAUAUAAACUAAUGAAAUCAUGUCACUUUUUGUUAAUAUAUGAAUAUUAUGUUUGGAUGUGAAAUAUGAUUCUCAAGUUAUUUAUUACUUCUUAUAUUUUACUUUUUAUUGUAGAAUAAUCAAAUUAUUUAUUUCACUUAUGAUAUUUUAGCACAUUAUGUAGUGCAGUUUAAAAAUAAUAAAGUAGAUUAUAUAUUAUUUUUAUACUAUUAUAUAUUAUGAUUUUUUAAUUUAUUUAAUAAUAAUUAUAUUAAGAAUUUUAUUAAAUUAUAUAUUAUUUUAUUAAAUUAUAUUUAGUAAUAAUCAUGUUAAAAUAUGAUUAAAUUAUUUAUUAUUUUUAUUAAAAUAUUUUUAAUAAUAAUCUUAUUAAAAUUUAAUAAUAAUAACAAUAAUCAUAUGGUAUGCUAAAUUCAUUUUUUUAUAUCGACAAUUGUGACCUAAGACAACAGGUGAAAGGCUAGAUUAAAACAAAUAUAUUAGGCAUUGAAAUGUUCUUAAUAAUAAUUUUAUAUUAAAAUUAUUAUUAAAUAUUAUUAAUAAUUAUAUUAAUAAUGUUAUUAAAAUAUAUAUUAUUUUAUUAAAUUGCAUUUAAUAAUAAUUAUGUUAAAAAAUGAUUAAAUUAUUUAUUUUUAUUUUUAUUAAAAUAUAUGUAUCAAUAAUCUUAUUAAAAUUUAAUAACAAUAAUCAUCUACCAACAAAAAUUCUGUUAAGGGUACUUUGGUCAUUUUAGCCUUUUUUCUUAUGCUAUUACAACAUCAUUCCAUUCAACCAAACACAAGAAUUCUAUUACAGCUCUAUUCCAUUCCAUUCAACCAAACAGUUGAAUUACUGAUUACAGCUCUAUUCCAUUACAGGUCUAUUCAAUUACAGCCCUAUUUCAUUACAGUGAACCAAACGUAUUGUAAGUAUGUUGUAAAUGGGUCCCACCCUUCAAUUUUUCAUUUUUAUUUCAGGUUUGAAUAUCUAAUAACAAAGGAAAUGAAAGAUUAACAAAUUUUGGCUUAUAACCCUUUAACUAUAAUCACAUAUUUUUUUUUAUAAUACUUUUUAUAUUUAAACACAUCCUUAAACUACAAUCACUUAUUUAAAUAAAUUCUUAUAAUAUUUUUUUAUCUCUUAAACUAUAAUUAAAUAAAAUUUUAAAUCUGGUUGACAUUUCUAUAGUUUUCAUAUGUUUUUAAGGUCGCAAAUUAAAUCAUGGAUUUAAAAUUUUAAAGAUAUAUUCCAAGUUGCAUCAACUAGGUAAAAAUAAUAUUAAUAUUCUAAAGUUAUAGAUGUAUUUUCCUUUCUUUUUUCUUUUUCUUUUUUUUUCCUGUGAUAAAAUUUGAAAAGAAAGAUAAAAGCAGUUUGAAUUUGUAAAACACAUUAAUUUAAUUUUAAAGAUGUUUGUAUGGAUAGGUUUUUUAAUUUUUUUUUUUUUGGUAUUGUUACUCCUAAUAGUAUCAUUUCUAAAUUCUAAUGUUCAAACAUACAUUCUCUCAUUAGAAGUACAAUAUGUCUUAUUACUACACUUAACACUUAUUAGUAAUCCUCCUAAAUUUUAAUAAAAUUGUUUACUUUUUGAUAUAAUCACAAGUGUCUCUAUUUGUUUUACAGUUCAAAACAAAUCUUGUUCGAGUCAAGUAGUAUUAAAAUAAAACCUUCCUAACAAUCACACUUUAAGAUUCAGACUUAGUUCAAAUAAUCUAAAAAUAAAUUCAUUCGACUCUUUUCAAUCACUUGCCGAUCCAAAAUGAUAAAAAAAUAUUUAAAUAUAUUUAUUUGUUUUUAAUAGUAGGUUAAAAAUAGUACCACAAAAUUAUAUUUGAUUGGAUAGAAUUUGUUGGAAAAUUAGAGGAUAUAGAAAUCUAUAUGAAAUCAAAGGGAUGGUAUAAAUUGUAUGUAUGAAAACACAGAAUAAAGUUGGAAAGGUGAAAAGGUGCUGAGUUAUCCAUUUCAUUUUCCUCUUAAAAGUAUAAUUUACACACAAGAAAGGAAUUGAUGCAAAAUAAAUAAAUAAAUGAAGAAUUACAAACAUCACAAAAUUUGCCUUGUUUAUAACCUUCCUUUUUAAUGUUAACCACAAAAUUGUUUUGUCCACUCCAUAUCUACACAAUAUCAACCUUUUUUUAGUAAACUUUGCCACCUAUAUUAUUAAUGAUUAUUUUAAUGCUUUUAGAAAAAAAUGUUCCUUGCUUUAUCUCUUUAGGUACCACAUUUAUUUAUGGUACUAGAUUAAAAAAUAUUGAAGUUAUUUGUCACUUAUAGUACUGGUUGCAGAUGGAAUAUCGUUCUCAAAUUCAAUCAAUGUUAGAGAUGGUUUAAGGAAUAUAUGGGUAAAAGUUUGACUCAUAUUUUUUAUUAAAAGUUAAAUUGAUAUUUAAAAAAUAGGUAAAUAAAUCUUUGUAUAUUAAAUUAAAGAGUAAAUUGAUCUUUUCUAUUAAAAUUUUUAUCUAUUUGUAUUGUAAAAAACUGGCGCGAUUGAUAAAAUAACUCAACAAUGACACUUGGCAUGUCUUGUGUACCUCAUUUUAAUGUACAAGGCCUAACUUUUGAUACUAGAAAUGGAUGAAAUUUUUAAUAAAAUGAUCAAUUUAAUCGAACAUACAACGGGCAAAAUGUAAUCCUCCUUUUCACUAGUAAAUAAGAAAAUUAAAUCCGCUUGAAAUCAUAUUUUUCACCUGAAGUAAUAAUGUCAAGAUAUAUAUUGAAAUGAUGAAAUUUGUGGUGUUUUAUGAUUAGCAAAAUGAGGGGUGUAAGUAAUUUGGACCACCAAAAUUUCUAUUCACAUGCUGAUUGAUGAAACUGGUAGUCUAAUCCAAUUAUUGGCUCUACCCUUUUCGAUCAUAUAUACCAACUACAUUCAGCCCUACUUAUUAUUUUUUAACAUACGGCAAAGGUAAUGAUGUGGGUAUCUUUUAUAUAAAGUUAAUUGUUGCAGACCUAUUUAACUAAUUUUCUAAAUUUAAAUGUAUACUUAAUAUUUGAAAGGGUAUUCACGAAAAUAUAAAGCUAAGCCUAUAAAAUGGGAAAGUGAUAAUUAUCAAAGGACAAAACUGAAUCUGGUUCAGUCCAUAUAAGCGUCCGGAGAGAUUAAUCAAUGAUUUAAGAAGGACUGAUUUAUCAUUUUAUCAACAGAGGUCCAUCUUUGGCGAACCAAAAUUGAACAUUUUAUCAAUAAUUUAGUAUAAAAUUUUAUUUAUUGAAUCUCUUUAACAUGAGUUAUGUUGAGUAAUUUUUUGUUAUGUUUCAUUAAAGGGGACAAUCGAAUAUUUAUAUAUAUAGUUACUGUUCUUGGAAUUAAGGUUCUUAGUAAACUCUAUACAUGCUGGACACGUGUACUAUUCUGUGCUGUUUGCUAGGCUUCGUGGUCCCUACAUGCAAACUUCUUGAAUAUAUGUGAGUUGAGACAACGAGCUCCCGUUGUUGACCUCUCCCUAUAAAACUUGCGCAUAUCCAUCCAGUAGGAUUUAGCCGGGUCGCGAGUAAACAACCCAUACCUUAUCUAAUCUCUUUUCAUAAUUUAAAAAGUUUAUUGUUAAAAACCUAUAAUACUAAUGAAAAUUUCAUCCUAAGAAAUAAAGAGAAUACGAAAAUUUAAUUCCUCCCUAAAUAAAAAUAUUUCGUAUUUUGAUUUUAUUUGAAAAUAAAUAUGUUGAUUUGCAUGAAAUUAAAUUUUCAUAUUUUAUGGUAGGUGAAAUUUUAAAAAAUUAUGUAUAUACUUUCAUCUAGCUCUAAAUAACAUCUCAAACUUUUAGGAGUUUUCUUCCCUUGAAAAAACCACUAUGAGUAAGUUUUGCGUAAUAAUAAUAAGGGACAAUCCAUAAGUCCCAUGGGACUUACCACUAAAUAUAGGCUAUUUAUUUAUUUUUUAGAUUUAAGAUUAAGAUUUUGUAUCUAAAUUAAUAUUAUAUAUAUUUUAAAAUAAGGUUGACGCCCAUGACAAUGAAUUAAAAUAAAACUGAGGUGGAAAGAUAGAUUAAUUAGUCAAAAUUCAUUUUUUCACCCCUAAAAAUUAUUGAAAACGUAUUUUAAGAAUAAAAAAAUAUAUUUGCAAUAUUCAAAUAUAAAAAGCGAAGUGGAUAAAACUUUGUACCCAGAUUUGAGUCUGGCAUCGGCGGGGACGACUUGAGCAAAGAAUUCCUUGUUGCUAAGCUUAAACUAGAAUUGACCAAUUAACAGCAGUGCCUUUGUUUUUAGAUUUUAUCAAACAUUUUGUUGGACAUGUGUAUCUUCUCCGCAUACUUUACCACUUACCAAAUGACUUGUCUUUCAAAGCUGUCGAUAUUUUGAACAAAUGUCUAUAAGUUAUCUGGUAAUGAAAAGGUUAUAUAUAGAAAAUAUUUGGAAGAGUUAAGGCUUUAAAUCACAAUUCGGAAUUUCAGACUUAUAAAAUCUCAUAUUAAACUAACAUGGUGGGAUUUAUUUUUCAGAAGAUAGUGUGGAGUCUCUGUCAUGCAGCCUGUUAAAAAGAAGCUGGGGUAUAUUUACUGUUGAGGGUAUUAAUUUUAUAUGAUUUUUUCCGAUGGUGAAAUGCAACCAACCUUGCCACCUUAAUUUGCUUUGUUAAUUGCCCGCAAAAGAGGCACUGAUGUCCACCAAAACCCCAUCUUAAAAUCAGACUUACAAAAGACUUAUAUAGGAAUAUGAUAGUAAUGCAUAAAUAUUAACCCAUAAAAAUUUAUGCAAAUAUAAUUCAAUUUCUAAUUAUCAUUAAUAUUUUUCCCCUUAAAUUUGUUUCUUCUUCAUCAUCAUAUAAUGUUUUCUAAACUGGAUCAGUGAUCAAAUCGAUUAAGUCACUAGUUCACCAGUCCGAUUAAAAAAUAUUAAAUUUUUUUAAAAAAAAUCUUGUUUAAUCAAUUUAACCCAUUUUUUAGUUGGCUCAAUCAGUCUCUACCGAUUUUCGAUCUAAUUCGUUUAAAGCCACUCUUCAGACAGAUACCCUAAUUGAUUCUCGAUUCAACCAGUUUGACCGACUAGUUCGAUACCCUAACCGAUUCUCCCACUUGCCCUAAUGGAGUAAAUGUGUCAUGUUUUACAUUUUCAUAUCAACAAUGUGUUUAUUAAAACUCUCAGUUACAAGAGUCUUAGUAAACGAAUCCAUAAGGCUAUCUUCAGAAGCUACUUUCACCACAUCUAUUAUUCCUUCAACUAAACAAAUAUUUGGACAUGUGCAAAGCAUAGUAUAUAUAAAACUUCCAACUGUCGAUGCAUAUGGAACAUUACUCAUAUACUCUUUUUCUACCGCUGUCUUAGGACAGUCAUCCAAAGAAAGAUGAAAAAUCUAAUGUAGUCGGUUGCGUGCCUGGUUUCCCAUCAGCCAUUGCAAAUCAUUCCCGUACUUUAUCGAUGUAUGUAAAUCUUUGUCCAAACUCGAUCUUAAUCAGGUCGGGUACUUUGAACAGGUCUAUUUACCACCAGUCUACCAUGUUGGUUAUUUCUCAAGAGCAUUUUUGACAAAUUUCAUUUUCUUAAAAUUAAUUUCUGUCGUGAAGAAAUUAUUAUGAUUAUUUUCUCUCUAUAUAUGUAUUGUGAUUUAAGAAAUUAUAUCUUUUAUACUCUCUAUAUGGUAUGAAUUGUCGAAACCAUUCUUUUAAAAACGGGGAUCGACUUUGUUUGAAAGUGAAAAUUAAAACGGGAGUCGCCACCAAUAUUUUAUCAGGUGUGAUCGGAUCACCUUUGUUUUAAUAAAUCAAUUUUAGUUUACUAAAACAGGGCCUUUGGUCUACGAAACUUGAGAGAAUGAGUUCGGGAGUCGGUUACGUGCGAGGAAGGAUUAGCACCCUCGACACGCCCAAAAAAUUGGUACCGAAUUGAUUAGUUAGUGUCUUAAUGUCGAAAAUUAAAAAUCGGGAAGGGACUUGAAAUACGAUCUUUUCUAUUAAUACUGAUUUUAAAAUUCUUGAAUUAGCUUAAAUCGAUUGGUUUAAAGAUUUCCUUAUCUCGAGAUAUCGGAGUAUCACAUCCCGUAAGUUAGGACACAAUACCAUGAAUUCCCGAGCACAAGGUCGUCUUUUAAUUUAAAUUGGAAAUCCAUGCAUUUCAAAACUCAAAGGGAUAUUUAGCUAUUUAGAACCAAGAAGAGAACUGAAACCCCGUAAGUUAGGGCACAAUUCUUCGAUGUUCCAAAAUGCGAAACAUUGCCUUAUUUAUUGAAAUUAGUAAAAACAUGAAUAAAAAUCUUUAAAGUAAUGAACAACAGAAUGAUAUAAAAUAGGCGGGAGACAAAAAUAAACGAGUUGGGAAUACAUUGAAACAAAUAAUAAAUAUGACAACAAUAUUAAAACAAUAACAAUGCAUGCGAUAUAUUAAACGUAAUAAUAGUAUCCAAUGUGAAAUAAAAACAACGAAUAUAUACAUAAUAAAGAUAUUAAGAGUAUGUACGUAAAAUAUAUAUAUAAAUAGUAAUAGUGUUAGAAAUAUACUAUAUAUAGUGUUUGAAGUAUAUACAUAAAAUAGUGAAAAUAUAACUAGUAAUGUUAAGAUAUAUAUAAUAUAUACAUAUGUAUAAAAUAGAUAUAAAAAAAAUGUAAAUAAUAUAGUGUAAAAAAUACAUACAUAAUAUAAUUAAAAUAUAUACAUAAGAUAACAUGUAGAAAAAAAUUUAUAUAUAAAUAAUAUAGUAUUAAAGAUAUAUACAUAAAAUAGUAUAAUAUAUAUAUACGUAAUAUAGAAUUUAGAAUAUACCUAAUAUAUUAAAAGAAUAUAUACAUAAUAUAAUAUUAAGAAAUAUAAUAAUAACAAAAAAAAGAGAGGGAGAGAGUGGGUGAUUUUCGGCCACAAGGCCGGCCACCGUCCGGUCACUGAACCGCCGCCGGCCACCGUCGGUGCCACCGUACACGGCAGCCGGACCUCAAAAAAACUUUUUCGGUAAAAAUGGGAAAGCUUCCUCCUUUUAUUUUUACUUUCGUAUAAAAAAACAAAAUAAAACUGAAAGGAAAACAAUAAGUAAACAAAGAACUUGAAACGAGAAUAGACCAAGAAACCUCUUUUGCUUUGAUAUUUGAUUAAUCUUCAAAAAAAAAACUAGCUCUCCAAAAACUAGCCUUUACAAUAACUCUUCUCCUUGAUUACUCUAAAAAAACCUCUCAAAAAUCCUUUACAAUAACUUUCUCCCCCAAAACUUCUUCCUCCCCUAAAUACAAAAUAUGAGAAGGCUUAUAUAGCCAUUUACCAAAUAUUUUUUAUUGUUUAUGUCUUUAUUUGUAGGUACAAGUGGUGGUGGAGCAAGUGUGGCUAAUGGAGUAGGUGGUGGAGCAAGUGUGGCUAGUGGAGUAGGUGGUGGAGCAAGUGUGGCUAGUGGAGUAGGUGGUGGCAAAGGUUAGGAUUUAGUUGAGAAAAGUUUAGGUUGUGGGCUAGGGUUUUUUUUUAUUUUGAUUUGGGCUUAGGGUUUGGGCCAUUGGGGUUUUGAUGUAAAUUCGGGUUUGGGUAGUUAAGAUUUUGGGUUUUGGGUUUAAUUUUGGUGGGUUAGGUAAUGUUAAAUUGGGUUUUGAUGUAAAUGGGUUAAAAUUGGCCUAUAACAGCUGCCCCUUUUUGCUUAUUAUCGUGUAACGGGAAUAAAGCAAAGACACAAAGAAAGGCCAAUUUUGCCCGGUCUUACUAAGUAUGGACUUCUUUGGUGCUCUUCUCAUCCAAGUAGUCUCUUUCCAAACCAUUGUAUCUUGUUGUCUUGAUCAAAUCCACUGCAUCUUCUGAUAUAUGCCUUGUAGCUUCGAUUUACUCCAAGGUGACUUCAAAAAGAUAAGAUCUACAGCUUCAAUCUGCUAUUCCAUCGCUUUAGUCAGAUAAAAUUUGUGGUCUUUUCUUCUGCAACUUUUAGAAAGGUAAGAUCUGAUAUCAUCGAUCAGCUCCACUGCAACUUCAAUUAGCUUCACUGUAACUUCAGGGAUAUAAAAUCUGUGUCUUCGAUUAAUUCUAGUCUUUAUUCUUUACUCGGUAUGUGAUCCUGAGCUUAACUCAUUUCUCGCAAUAUGAAUUGACUCUUUAAAACUAAACAUUAAAAACAGAAAUUGAAAAUAGCUCAGCACGUGAGCCAAGGCUCAACUCACUUCUCGCAAUAUGAGUUGAUUUUUAAAACAAAAUUUGUAAAACAGAUUUUGAAAAUACCUCGGUAUGUGACCUGAGGCUCAACUCACCUCUCGUAAUAUGAGUUGAUUUUUGCAAAGCAUAAAUUAAAAAAAAAUAAAAAUCAAUUGAACAUACCUCGGCGUGUGAUCUGAGGCUCAACUCACCUCUCGCAAUAUAAGUUGAUUUUUUUGACAAACAUAAAUUGAAAAAAAAGAAAUUGAAAAUAUCUCAGCGUGUCCUGAGGCUGAACUCACCUCUCGCAAUAUGAGUUGAUUUUUUGGAAAAAUAAAAUUUGAAAAACAGAAUUUGAAAAUACCUCAGUGUGUGAGUCAAGGCUCAACUCACCACUCGCAAUAUGAGCUGAUUUUUUUUGAAACACAGAAAUUGAAGAACAGAAAUGGAAAACACCUCAGCGUCUUGAGGUUCAACUCACCUCUCGCAAUAUGAGCUGAUUUUUUUUGAAAGACAGAAAUUGAAAAUAACUCAAUGUGUUUUGAGGCUCAACUCACCUCUCGCAAUAUGAGUUGAUUUUUGACAAACAAAAAUUGAAAUUACCUCAGCGUCUUGAGGUUCAACUCACCUAUCACAAUAUGAGUUGAUUUUUUUGAAAAACAGAAAUUGAAAAUACCUCAACGUGUCUUGAGGUUCAACUCACCUCUCGCAAUAUGAGCUGAUUUUUGACAAACAAAAAUUGAAAUUACCUCAACGUGUCCUGAGGCUCAACUCACUUAUCGUAAUAUGAGUUGAUUUUUUUGAAAAACAGAAAUUGGAAAUACCUCAACGUGUCUUGAGGCUCAACUCAUCUCUUGCAAUAUGAGUUGAGUUUUGACAAACAAAAAUUGAAAUUACCUCAGCGUGUCCUGAGGCUCAACUCACCUCUCGCAAUAUGAGUUGAUUUGAAAAGUAGAAUUUGUAAGGCAAAAAUUGAAAAACAGAAAUUGAAAAUACCUCAGCAUGCCCUGAGGCUCAACUCACCUCUCGCAAUAUGAGUUGAUUUUUGAAAAACAGAAAUUAAAAGCAGAAAUUGAAAAACAAAAAUUAAAAAUACCUCGGCGUGCCCCGAGGCUCAGCUCACCUCUCGCAAUAUGAGUUGAUUUUUGAAAAGCAUAAAUUGAAAAAACAGAAAUUGAAAAUACCUCAGCGUGUGACCUGAGGCCCAACUCACCUCUCGCAAUAUGAGUUGAUUUUUUUGAAAGAUAGAAAUAAAAACAUCAAAAUACCAAAAGAUGUCAUCUGGUGGAACUCAGGUGUCCUUUCCUUUGAUUCAAUACAGCUAUCAUCGAAAUCUCUUGUUCUGCUGAAAUACAUGUAUAUGUCAUGCAUGAUGUUAUCAUGAAAUGCACAUGUUUGCCUUAAAUGCCUUUAUGCCUACAUGAUCAUGCUAUGUGCCUUGGGCUUGCUUGUCAUAUGUCCCUUUUCGUCAUGAUUUUUGAUGAUCUGCGUUCAUUGCUUUGACUCUUGACUUUCUCUUCAGGCCCUAUACCCAUCCUCUAGCUUCACGACUAAUCUGCGUUUCUCAGAUAUCGCUCUUUUGCCCCUGGUUGAACUUUGUCCUUGCUUUGAGGCUCUUGUACUUAUCAAAUUCUUGUCCAGGUAAUGCUUAGCACUUCUUUUGUUUAGAGUAUGUCAUUUCACUAUUUAUCAUGUAAAUGAACCACAUAAUGAGAUGCAUGAAAAUGGUCAGGUAGGGACAAAAGGAUACCUCACAUUUAUUCAUUUCAAAUGUAGCAAACAAAGAAAGUUAAUCAAUGAUAGUAAAGAAAGUUAAUCAAUGAUAGUAAAAAAAAGUGUCAUAAAGAGAAAGGGGAUCGCAUUUCAACAAAUACAAAUGCUCUAGAUAUUCAAUGCAUGAACUCUUCCACAUUCCUCAAUCAAGAAUCUUUUCGAGCAUGGCUUUCUUGCGUAAGAGAUUUCGAGUUUUCAGAAAUGCUUCAAAUACUGUAGUCUCUCUGUUUGACCCACUGUUCAAAACGCCUUGCUUUUUAAGCCAGUACUUGCUUCAUUAGAACGCCCUUUAGGGUUUUCAUCCUAAUCUUUUGUGUUAAUCAAGACGUCCUUUUCAGGUUUUCACCUUGAUCCCUUUCUCUUUUUCUUUUUUCUUUUCUUUUUUUUUCUCUUUUUUUUAAGAUGCCCUUUUUCGGGUUUUCAUCUUGAUUUUCCUUUUUUAAGCAUAAUAUUUCUUCACAGCAUCUGAAUUCACUGGAUUCGGUAACUCCUUCCCAUCCAUCUCAGUGAGAAUCAAAGCUUCACCCGAGAAUGCUUUCUUUACGACAUAUGGUCCUUCCUAAUUUGGUGCCCAUUUUCCUCGUAAGUCCUUCUGUAUUGGAAGAAUCUUUCUCAACACGAGUUCUCCUUCGUGGAAUUCUCUUGGCCGUAUUUUUUUGUCAUGGGCCGCGAUCAUUAUCUUCUGGUACAUCUGUCCGUGACAAAUUGCCUUUAAACGUUUUUCUUCGAUCAGGUUUAACUGGUCAUAUCGAGCUCGAACCCAUUCUGCCUCCUCUAGUUUCGAAUCCAUUAAGACUCGUAAAGAGGGGAUCUCAACUUCGAUAGGUAGCACAGCUUCUAUUCCAUAGACCAGAGAGAAAAGAGUUGCCCCCGUAGAUGUCCGUACAGAUGUGCGAUAUGCAUACAAAGCAAAUGGUAGCUUCUCGUGCCAAUCUUUAUAUGUCUCAAUCAUUUUCCCAAUAAUCUUCUUAAUAUUCUUGUUGGCUGCUUCAACAGCUCCGUUCAUUUUCGGGCGAUAGGGUGACGAGUUAUGAUGCUUUAUUUGAAACUGCUCACAUACUUCCUUCAUCAUUUUGUUGUUCAGAUUUAAGGCGUUAUCUGAAAUGAUUCUCUCAGGCGAACCAUAUCGACAAAUGAUUUCCUUUUUCAAAAAUCUGCAAACUGCAGUCUUUGUCACAUUGGAAAACUAAAUAGCUUCUAUCCAUUUUGUGAAGUAAUCAAUAACCACAAAAAUGAACCAGUGUCCAUUAGAAGCUUUUGGGGAAAUUGGCCCUAUAACAUCCAUGCCCCACAUAGAAAAGGGCCACGAAGAAGUCAUGACAUGAAGGGGCGAAGGGGCUACAUGAAUCUUAUCGCCAUAAAUUUGACAUUUGUGGCAUUUUCUUGCAAAACUAAUGCAAUCGCUUUCCAUCGUCAGCCAGUAGUAACCGAGUCUCAUAAUCUUCCUGGCCAUAGUGAAACCAUUGGCAUGUGUCCCACAAAUUCCCUCGUGGACAUCUUCAAGUAUUUUUCUGGCUUCAACAGCAUCUACGCAUCUCAAGAGCACUUGAUCUUUUUCCUCUUUUGUACAAGAUGUUCCCAUCAAGAACAAAUCCCGCUGCCAUUCUUCUGAUUGUUCGUUUGUCAUUCUCAUUUGCUUGUUCGGGAUGCUUUUGGUUCUUGACAUAUUCUAAGAUAUCAUGGAACUAUGGCCGUCCAUCUGGCUCUUUUUCAAUGCUGAAACAAUGUGCAGGGACUUCAUAUAUGCUCAUUUGAAGAGGCAUUAUUUUUGUUUCUCUGUUUGCUUUGAACAUUGAAGCCAAAGUGACCAGGGCAUUAGCCAAUUGGUUUUCUUCUCGUGGGAGGUAAUUAAAAUUUAUUUCUUCGAAUUCUUUAAUCAGCUCUGCCACUAGAUCACUGUAUUUGACCAGUUUCGAAUCUCUCACUUCCCAAUCUCCACGGAUUUGGUAUAUCACCAAGGCUGAGUCUCCGUAUACCUUUAAAGUUUUGAUGUUUCAUCCAAUUGCUACACGAAGUCCUAUGAUACAAGCCUCAUAUUCUACUAUGUUAUUGGUACAGAAAAAGUUCAGCCUGGCAGUGAGUGGGUAAUGGUUUCCUUCUGGUGAUACUAAGACUGCUCCAAUCCCAUGCCCCAAUGCAUUCAAUGCACCAUUAAAGCUCAUCUUCCAUGAAUUUUCUUUUGAUGACUCACAUUCUUUUUCUGUAAUGCACAUCAAGUCUUCAUCUGGGAAAUCAAAUCUCAAUGGCUCGUAUUCCUCCAUUGUUCGAGUUGCUAAGAAGUCAGCUAUUGCGCUCCCUUUUAUCGACUUUUGACUCACAUAGACGAUAUCAUAUUCUGAUAGUAAGAUCUGCCAUCGUGCCAUUCUUCCUGAGAGUGCAGGUGAUUCCAUCAUGUACUUUAUUGGGUCCAACUUUGAAAUUAGCCAUGUCGUAUGAUACAGCAUAUAUUGCCUGAGUCUUCGAGCUACCCAAACCAGAGCGCAACAGUAUUUUUCUAUGGACGAAUACUUUGCCUCAUAUUCAGUGAACUUUUUACUGAGUUAGUAGAUCGCCUUUUUUUUUCCAGACUCGUCAUGUUGCCCCAGUACGCAACCCAUUGAAUUCUCGAAAACAGUCAAAUACAAUAUCAAUGGUCUUCCCGGUAUUGGUGGUACUAGCACUGAAGGACUAGACAAAUACUGUUUUAUCUUGUUAAAAGCCACUUGGCACUCCUCGUUCCAUUCUCCGGGAUUAUGUUUUCGAAUGAGUCGAAAGAUUGGGUCGCAUUGGUUGGUAAGUUGAGCGAUAAAUCGGGCAAUGUAGUUUAAUCUCCCUAAAAAUCCUCUGACUUCCUUUUGCGUGCACGGAGGUGGUAACUCUUGAAUGGCUUUUAUUUUAUCUGGAUCAACUUCAAUGCCUCUCUCGCUGACAAUGAAGCCAAGAAAUUUUCCUGAGGUAGCCCCCAACGUACAUUUGGCCGGAUUGAGCUUUAGCUGGAACUUUCUCAGUCUGUCGAACAACUUCUUCAGGUUCACUACAUGCUCUUCUUCCCCUCGGGAUUUAGCAAUCAUAUCGUCGACAUAGACCUCUAUUUCUUUAUGCAUCAUGUCAUGGAAUAAUGUCACCAUAGCCCUCUGAUAUGUUACCCCAGCAUUCUUUAACCCAAAUGGCAUCACCUUGUAGCAGAAUGUUCUCCACAUUGUUACGAAGGUAGUUUUCUCCAUAUCCUCAAGGGCCAUCUUGAUCUGAUUAUACCCCGAGAAUCCAUCCAUGAAAGAAAACAAUGAAUGUUUUGCUGUGUUAUCCACCAACGUAUCAAUGUGUGGUAAGGGAAAAUUAUCUUUGGGACUUGCUUGAUUCAAGUAACGAUAAUCUACGCACAUUCGUACUUUGCCAUCUUUCUUUAGUAUCGGAACUAUGUUGGCCACCCACUCUGGAUAUUUGGAGGUUUGUAGGAAGCCAGCAUCAAAUUGCUUCUUGACUUCCUCUUUUAUUUUCAACAACAUCUCAGGUCUCAUCCGUCUUAGCUUUUGUUGAAUGGGUUUGCAUUCUGGCUUCAAUGGGAGCUUAUGGACCACUACAUCUUCAUCCAAUCCUGGUAUAUCCUGAUAUGACCAUGCGAAUACAUCUUUGUACUCACGGAGCAAAGCAAUCAAAUUAUGCCUGGUGCCCCCUGAAAUAGAGGUCCCAAUCUUCACUUCUUGCUUCAUUUCUUCAGCUCCCAAGUUUAUUGUUUCAACAAAUUUUUGAUGAGGCAAAAUCUAUUUAUCCUCUUGUUCCACCAUUCUUAGUAAGUCAAGAGACGAGACAUAGUCUUCAGCAUUUUCUUCGGCUUCGAAUUCUCUUAAACAAACAGCCUUCUCAAAAUCGAUUUCAGGACUCGUAACGGGUUUGUUCAUGCAAUUGAUAUCUGAGCACCUGAAAGUUGAAUGGAAAAGGAAACUAUAGAGGGGCAUCCAAGUAUUGAAACCAACAAACUGAAUGUUAUGGUAUGGCAUGAGGCAAAUGUAAAGAUAGGCUAUGAAAUGAUUAUGGAAUUAGUGAUAAUGCGAAAAAUUGUGACAAAAUGCAUCUUCAUUAAUAUUCAUUUAAAUGAUAAAGAGCGAAUGCAAGCUCUUAAAAAAGAAUUCUAUUAUAUCUAAGGACAUAACAGAAUGUUAACGUUUGAGCUUUACUCUGAAGACUUAUAAACUACAAGAAGAUCCUCGGCAGUCCAAUUGUUCAACAUGAAACCUGGGGGACAAUGGCGUAUCUUUGAGACGUCUUUAUUCGCGUCAGCUCCUUUGUCAAUGACAUUUAUACUGAUAUUCUGAAAACCCUCUUCGAUCAUUAACAUUGUGCUUUAUGCACUAUACUGCCCUAGGUAUAUCAUUCCCGCAGACAUAAAUGUUCUUGACAAAUGAGGGAAUUCCAUGGGCUCCCAUUCUGGUUCUCGGCCUAAUGUUCUCGCGAUCCUUCUUUCCUGAUCUUUCUUCCACUACUUUCUUCUUUGACGCAUGUCCGACUGGAACCCUAAACCAUAUUGAGCCUUGUGGUGUACUGGCUUUAGAGCCCUGACUAUUCCUUGCAGAGAUCUCCCUAAACGUCUUCUCGCUCGAGCUCCACUUCCUAUAGUCAACUUGACACCCAUUCUAGUAUUUCUCGACAGUUUUGUCACCGAAAUUCUAUUUCUCUCAGUGACAAAAGUGGCAUUGACAAAUUCAAGGGAUCGGAAGGAACAUUCCACUGCGUCUUUGCUUACUUCAAGAUAUGACGCAUCAGCAGAGAUAGAUGCGAUAAUGUCUUCUUCUCCUUCGACAGUGACCAAACAACCAUCCAUGAUGAACUUUACUUUUUGAUGGAGAGAGGAUGAAACUGCUCCAGCAGAAUGGAUCCAAGGCCUUCUCAGAAGGCAAUUAUAUGAGGGUGUGAUGUCCAUGACUUGGAACUCGACAUUGUAAAUGUAAGGGCCCACUUCUAAAGGGAUAUCAAUCUUUCCCAUAACUUCACGCCUUGUCCCAUCGAAUGCCCUUACCGUGGAAUGACAGGGCCUUAAAUAGGACAGAUCUAUCAAAAUUCUGAAAAGCGUGGCCAAAGGCAUGAAAUUGAGUGCCGAGCCAUUAUCGAUAAGUACAUUCGGUAUUAUGUAGCCCUUGCAACGCGUCGUAACAUGUAGUGCUUUCACGGAGCCUCUACCGUUGGGUGGUAUUUCGUCAUCACUAAAAGAAAUAAAAUUAUCCGCAUUCAAGUUGUUCACCCAUCUGUCCAGCUUCUCCACGGAUAUAUUGUUUGCCACGUAAGCUUGAUUCAACAUCUUCAGCAAGGCGUUCUGGUGUGGCUCCGAAUUUAGCAGCAGAGAUAAAACCGAGAUUCGUGCUGGUUGCUUAUUCAAUUAUUCCACCACAUUGUAUUCACUGUGUUUGAUAAAUUUCAAGAACUCCUGUACUUCCUUCUUAUCCACAGGCUUUUUAGUUUCUUGCACGGGUGGAAUUUCUUGCUCUACUUCGGCCUCAUGCAUCACUGCUUUCCCUUUUUGCUUUCAGUCACUGUUCUUCUUUACUGGUUCGACCUCUUUUGAAUAACAUCUUCCACUUCGGGUAAAAUGACCUACCUCUCCAACAUCUCCAGUUAUGGCUUUGAGCUUUUUAUCUUCCGGUGUGACGAUAUUGAUGUCAUAUUUCCAUGGUACGGCUUUGUCGUCCUUGUACGGGAAAGGAGACGGUACUUCGAUUAUCAUUUUUGGUUUCACCGGCUCUUUCGUCUCGUCGUAAUAAAUUAUUAACGGUCGAUCCGCGCUAUAAGAGAGACCUGAUGACUGGUUGUCAGAGGUGCAUACUUCUCUUUCAUUGGUCUCUUCCCUCUUGUUAAGGACCUUAAUCUUCUUAUUAUCCAUCCGGUCUUGAAGCAACCUUUUAAAUUGCUCACACGACUGAAUUUCGUGUCCUACAAUUCCAUACAAAUUGCAAAAACUUUGACCUUCUUCUCUGAGAAUUCUAUCGGGGUGACAAAGCAAUCCUUUCUUAACCAGUACCUCUUAGAUUUUCUGCAGAGGCGUCCUUAUUUCUGAAACACAUCUUCUAACUUUCCAUUCGUCCUCUUUCCCCACUGUGCUCACAUUCCCUUCAGCAUGGUUAGGGAACGGGUUCCCAGUUGCGUUACUGGCACUAUCGAACCAUAGGAUACCCGCGUCAAUGAGUCCUUGAACUCUCCUCUUAAAGGCUAGGAAAUUCUCCGUGGAAUGCCCCUGGUACCCUGCGUGGUAUGCACAACUAGCGUUUGGAUCAUACCACUUUGGGUAUGGAGGUUUAAGGGGUGCCAUGUAAUGGGGAGAAAUCAGCUGUUUCUCUAGAAGUUUUGGGUACAAUUCCCUAUACAACACAGGGAUAGGAGUAAAUUGCGGUCUCUCGGGAUUAGGCCUUGCUGGUCUUGGUUCGUUUCUGGGCUGGCUUUGAGCAGGUAUCGUGUUUUGUGGGAAUGUGGUGACGAGUCUUUGGUUAUUCGUGGCGUAUACGGGGUAGGAAGGAGGUGGUGCUUGGUAGUAAGGAGUUUGAGGGGGAUAAUAGAAAUUUGGAUAUGGAUAACUUCGAGGUCGGGGUUGGUUUGGAUAUGGAUUAGGGGCAUAACGACUUCCCAUUCCCACCAUGUGGGCUUCUGGUUCUUUCUUCUUCAUGGGUGCUACCCUUCUUAAACUUUCUUGACCUUCCAUUCUACUACUCUUGACGGCGUUCUCUAUAAGCUCACCGGAUAUUACAAUAUCCGCGAAGUCCUUCGUGGCGCUUCCCACUAGUUUGUCAUAAAACGACGUCUUUAAGGUGUUGAUAAAAAGGACAGUUAUCUCUGUUUUCGUUAGUAGGGGUUCCACUUGGGCUAAGACGUCUCUCCAUCUCUACGCAUCAUUUGUAAAGUCAUCCGAUCAGGUACCAUAUCUGAUACAUACUUGUACUACUCACAGAAUUUCGACGCCAAGUCUUUUCAAGAUCGGAUCCUUUCCUUACUGAGUUGGUUGUACCAUCGAAGAGCCGAUCCUACUAGACUGUCUUGAAAACAAUGUACAAGUAGCUUAUCUUCGUUCACGUAACCGGUCAUUUUUCGGCAAAACAUGACAAGAUGUGCUUUUGGACAUCUUGUCCCAUCGUACUUUUCGAAAUCAGGCACCUUGAACUUCGGAGGCAGGAUUAGGUCAGGUACCAAACUGAGUUCUUUAGCACCUAGUACCGAGAAGACUUCAGUGCCUUCUAUUACCUUGAGUCUUUCUUCCAAAUUCCUAUACUUCUCUUGAGCCUCGUGAUCAUCUAUUUUCAACUUGGAUAUUUCGACUGGAUCAUCUAAAUCUGGAACUACAAGAUUGGCAGGGGUUGCUCCAGAAUUUGACAUAAAUGUUCCUUGCCCUAGAUGAGCAAAUGGCAUAGGUCGUUAUUCCAAGCCUGUGGAUUCCCUUUGAGUAUACCCUCUUUGUGCUACGUGGGCAUGUGGUGGAGUGAAUCCUGGGGGGUAGAGUGGAUCCUGGUCAUGAUUAAUUCUUGAUUGAGGUUCCAUACUGUCGGGGUUCUGCAUGGGCCCUUUUUCCUUUGACCAAAACUGAUAUCAUCUCCAUCAUUCUAGCCAUUUGAUCCUUUUGUUCAAGUGAUUCCUAUCAAGAUCUUACUAUCAAAUCCCUCGUUUCUUACUGUAACUUAGCCAGUUGUUCUUGUAAUUCCUUCUGGACUCUUUCCAUCCUUUCGAUUCUUUCAUUGAACUCAGCCUCCAUUGCUCUAACUUGUCGACUCGUUUUAUACGAAUGGCGUAGUUUCAGAUUUGAAGUGUUGCAACUGCGAAUUAUAUGAUUCUAACCUUAGUGAAUGAUUAUAGGAUAUGUAUAUGCAAUGAAUAGAUGAAUGGAUGCAAAAAGAGACGUUGAUUCCAAUUCAAUUUCAUUAGAAGAACUUCACUAGAAGAAAAAUUUCUUUACAUAGAACGGAUGAUUACAUAUACGACUUCGCCCUAAUGCCCAAAGUCUUAACUUUCCUAAGAAGCCAAGCUAAGCUUUGGCCUCGGUCUGAUUCUGACUCGUACUUUAAGCUCAAUAUAUCAGCCUGAACUGCCAAGGUUUGCAAGUGAUCAGCUAUCUCUCGAACCUGAGCUAUAGCUUCGCCCAUGACAUAGUCUCUAUCUCUAAUCUAGUUUUGAGAGUGGUGAAGUUGUUCUCUGUAAUGGUCGUUGUUUGUCUCAAGAAGUUCCACUCGAAUUUUGCUAUCUCGCAGUGCGGUUUCGAGUUAUUCUAUUUUCCCUUUCAACUCUUCGAUCCUGCUCAGACUAGCCUUUAGCUUAAUUAUCGAAUUAUGGCUAUGAUGUUGCUGAAGUAAUCUUUCCAAUUCAGCCACCCAAGCUUGAAACUUCUCCUUUUCAUUUUGGGUUUCUAACAAACUCUUCUUCAGAGUGUCCUCUUGUACUCGAGCAUCUUGAAAUCUUUUCUCCCAAUGGUCGGCUCUAGUCUUUUCCUCUUUAAUCUCUUGACGCCAUUGCUCCAACGUUUUACAUAAUCUGGCAGUUUUUAUUGUUAUACAAAGCUUCUUGUAAUCAGUUUUCAGACUAUCUAAAUCUUCCUCGGCCUUGUUCUUUCCUUUCCUUAACUUCUCGGCCUCUAGCUUGUGGAUAUCGACGUCUAACCCCAACUUCAUUUUAUCUUCUUUUAGCUGCUCUAUCUUCUUCCCCAACUCCGAGUUUUUUUUCUCAAAAUCUUGUUUAAUGAUCUCUAACUCGGAUGGGAUGACCCGUAAAUGGUCCUCUAUCGGUUGUGUGUUCCCUUGAUUCUGCCUAGGGAUGUUGUCGUUAACUCUCUUACCCCACCACCAUUCAUACUCGGGGGUCGUCAUCGGGCCUGCAGUGAAUCCUUUCAUUCUUCGAGUUUGGUUCCAUGCAUCUGAUAUCUCGCGAACCCUCUUUUUAUAAUUGUUGUCUUUAUAGGGGAACUCACAUUGUGCCAACCCUUGUGUCACCGGUAUAAACUGCCUUGAUCGAUACUGCCUUAACACCAUCAGUUGAGCGUAUCCAAUAGCUUCCCAUAUUCCAGCCAGAGGGACCCAGUCAAAGUCACCGCACCUAUAUAAGAUCUCGUCAGGAAUCAACCACGGAGCCCUCCAUUCAACGUCUUCGGUUCAUAAAUUUUAGAGAAUAGUUAUCCACCUCUCUUCGGAGAUGUCGUCCCGCCUCGAUGUGGCCACUAAUUCUCUUAAUAGGGAACAAUCCUUAGAGAAUACCCGAUAGGAGACCUUCUCCACCUUCCAAAAAUGACUGUGGAACCAAGCCAAAAGAAGCUGUGCGCAACCAAUAAAUCUUCCCUCCCCCGCUCUUCGGCAUGUAUUCAAGGAUCGGAAAGUUUCUGCUAGGAUUGCCGGGACAGGUGUGGUACCUUUAUCAAGUCGAUCGAAUAAAUCUGAGACGGCUUCAUCUAUGUGUCCAAGUGCUUUAGGAAAGACGAUCAAACCGUAGACACUUAAGACAAAAACAUCAACCCUUUUCUUCGAAUCCGGGUGCGCAAGAAUAAAAUCCCUCAAAUUCCUCCAAGGAAUACAUUUACUUUCCCCUUUUUGCUUGAUGCGGGUCGCAACCCAUUGCUCGCUCAUCCCCGUGAUAUUCAUCAAUUUCUUUAAAAAGGGAGGGACAUUAACAGGUCUUGAAUAGGCCCUAUCGGCCUGAAUCUUCGGGCAAUUAAGUAACGCCACGUAUUCCUCCACCGUAGGUACUAAAUCAACUCCUCAAAAAGUGAACCAACUGUAAGCGGGAUUCCAAAAUUACGCGAGGGCCCGGAACAAGUACUUGUCCACCUUUACAUCGAGUAAAUAGGGUAGGUCACCGUAGUUACAGUAAAAGAGUUGUUUGACUUCGCCAUUCCAACUAUUCCAUAUAUCCCUUAACUCUUGCAGGUUGUUCUGAGUCACACUGAUGCGAGUGAAAUCCCACAACUCCGAUUCAUAUCCCUCGAUCAAACUAUCUCCUUUCUCCUGUUGCGUUCUCCCAGACCACACUCGGACGGUCGCAUUAUCCUUCAUUCUAUCAAGAAAUCCUUUUUCCAUGCUAAACUCUUCUAAUUAGUAACCGAACGUAAAUCAACACCCUUUUAUGAUGAAAUGUCAUGCAAAAAUGAUCAAAAUACAACAAGUUAGUAUUAUAUACAAAGUAUAAAAUUCAAAGCAAAUAGUGAGUAAAUAAGCACCUAAUCAGGUAACCACUAGGGUUUGGUGUGGUUCUACCUAGGGUAGGCUCCUAGGGCUCAUUACAUGUAGUUUGGUUCUAAAGUAAAGGUACCUGAACCAGCAGAUUCCUCGAUCCUCACCCAUUAUAGGUUCAUACAGACCGAGUUCGAUUCAGGGGAAUACAUUUCCCUACGGCUAUACGGAGGUGAAAACCCCACGAAGACGCAGGUACGGAUGUAUCCCAAAAGCGAUCCACUAUCCUAUACGGAGGUGAAGACCUCAUAAAGGAGUAGUUUUUCACUUCCACUUAAGAGGGUGAAAUCGACCAAUAAUGCGAUACGAUAUGCAAAGAUACCUCAAAGAAUUAAACCACUUAAAGCAAGCAUAUUAUGAAGAGAGUUGCGAAAAUAACAGACAACAUGCAAUGCAGUAAUUUAAAAUCAAUUUUCGAUUUUUGACAAAAGACAAAAAAAUAAUCAAUUUAAGGCUCGACUCUCGAAUUCCCCAGCGGAGUCGCCAAGCUGUCGAAACCAUUCUUUUGAAAACGGGGAUCGACUUUGUUUGAAAGUGAAAAUUAAAACGGGAGUCGCCACCAAUCUUUUAUCAGGUGUGAUCGGAACACCUUUGUUUUAAUAAAUCAAUUUUAGUUUACUAAAACAGGGCCUUUGGUCUACGAAACUUGAGAGACUGAGUUCGGGAGUUGGUUACGUGCGAGGAAGGAUUAGCACCCUCGACACGCCCAAAAAUUUGGUACCGAAUUGAUUACUUAGUGUCUUAAUGUCGAAAAUUAAAAAUCAGAAAGGGACUUGAAAUACGAUCUUUUCUAUUAAUACUGAUUUUAAAAUUCUUGAAUUAGCUUAAAUCGAUUGGUUUAAAGAUUUCCUUAUCUCGAGAUAUCGGAGUAUCACAUCCCGUAAGUUAGGACACAAUACCAUGAAUUCCCGAGCACAAGGUCGUCUUUUAAUUUAAAUUGGAAAACCGUGCAUUUCAAAACUCAAAAAGGAUAUUUAGCUAUUUAGAACCAACAAGAGAACCGAAACCCCGUAAGUUAGGGCACAAUUCUUCGAUGUUCCAAAAUGCGAAACAUUGCCUUAUUUAUUGAAAUUAGUAAAAACAUGAAUAAAAAUCUUUAAAGUGAUGAACAACAGAAUGAUAUAAAAUAGGCGGGAGACAAAAAUAAACGAGUUGGAAAUACAUUGAAACAAAUAAUAAAUAUGACAACAAUAUUAAAACAAUAACAAUGCAUGCGAUAUAUUAAACGUAAUAAUAGUAUCCAAUGUGAAAUAAAAACAACGAAUAUAUACAUAAUAAAGAUAUUAAGAGUAUGUACGUAAAAUAUAUAUAUUUAUAAAUAGUAAUAGUGUUAGAAAUAUACUAUAUAUAGUGUUUGAAGUAUAUACAUAAAAUAGUGAAAAUAUAACUAGUAAUGUUAAGAUAUAUAUAAUAUAUACAUAUGUAUAAAAUAGAUAUAAAAAAAUGUAAAUAAUAUAGUGUAAAAAAUACAUACAUAAUAUAAUUAAAAUAUAUACAUAAGAUAACAUGUAGAAAAAAAAAUAUAUAAAUAAUAUAGUAUUAACGAUAUGUACAUAAAAUAGUAUAAUAUAUAUACGUAAUAUAGAAUUUAGAAUAUACCUAAUAUAUUAAAAGAAUAUAUACAUAAUAUAAUAUUAAGAAAUAUAAUAAUAACAAAAAAAAGAGAGGGAGAGAGUGGGUGAUUUCCGGCCACAAGGCCGGCCACCGUCCGGUCACUGGACCGCCACCGGCCAUCGUCGGUGCCACCGUACACGGCAGCCGGACCUCAAAAAAAAAAUUUCGAUAAAAAUGGGAAAGCUUUCUCCUUUUAUUUUUACUUUCGUAUAAAAGAAACAAAAUAAAACUGAAAGGAAAACAAUAAGCAAACAAAGAACUUGAAACGAGAAUAGACCAAGAAACCUCUUUUGCUUUGAUAUUUGAUUAAUCUUAAAAAAAAAACUAGCCUCUCCAAAAACUAGCCUUUACAAUAACUCUUCUCCUUGAUUACUCUCAAAAAACCUCUCAAAAAUCCUUUACAAUAACUUUCUCCCCCAAAACUUCUUCCUCCCCUCAAUACAAAAUUUGAGAAGGCUUAUAUAGCCAUUUACCAAAUAUUUUUUAUUGUUUAUGUCUUUAUUUGUAGGUACAAGUGGUGGUGGAGCAAGUGUGGCUAAUGGAGUAGGUGGUGGAGCAAGUGUGGCUAGUGGAGUUGGUGGUGGCAAAGACUAGGAUUUAGUUGAGAAAAGUUUAGGUUGUGGGCUAGGGUUUUUUUAUUUUGAUUUGGGCUUAGGGUUUGGGCCAUUGGGGUUUUGAUGUAAAUUGGGCUUUGGGUAGUUAAGAUUUUGGGUUUUGGGUUUAAUUUUGGUGGGUUAGGUAAGGUUAAAUUGGGUUUUGACGUAAAUGGAUUAAAAUUGGCCUACAACAUGAAUAUUUAGAGUCUGGAGCAAGAAUGAAAAUCUUAAAAUUUGAAGUUUUCUAGAUUUCUUUUCUAAGUUGUCUUUUCUCCUUUGAGUUUGUUUUGUUAGUUUUCCUGCACAUUUUAAGUUUUUAUGGGUUUGUUUUGAAUUAAGAUUGAAAUUGAUUUUAAUUUUGAAAAAGAAGAAAAAUAAAAAAAUUUUCACAUUAGCAUAUUAGGUGUAAGAAAACAAUCCAUGUCAGCAUUUAAUUAGAGAUGUAGGCUCUGUUUAUUUUAUUGAAAAUAGUUUUUAGAAAAAAAAGAUUUAUUUUUUUUGAAAAUUUAAUAUUUUUUUGGCGUUUGGAUGAAUCUGUGUAAAAUAUUCAGAUUUCCUGAAAAUAUUUCAUAAAAGUUGUUUUCCGUGAAAUAAACAAACAUUUUGUUAUCUUUUCAUUGUUUAAUUAAGUUUAUUUUAUAUUUAUAAAUUUAUAUUUUACAUUGUUUUUGUAAAACAAACACGAUAUAAAUAUAUAUAUUUUUAUAAAAUAUUAUAGUGCAAUUUUUUUUAACAAUCAAAAUUUAAUUUAUAAUAAAAAAUAUUUUGUAAUAAUCGAUGUCAUAUAUAAACUUAAUAAUAAAUAAUACUUAAUUAAAAUUUAAUUUAAAUUGCAUAUAUGAGAAUACAUAUUGACACAUUAGAGUUGUAAGGGAUAAAUGAAGCUAAGCAUUAUUUAAACAAAUACUCAUUUUAAUAUAAUUAAUAUGUCAUAAGUCUUUGUACUCUUCGUAAAUUUAAAAUUUACACUACGUUUGGUUGGAUGGAAUUGUUAUUCUAUUCCACCCAAAUUCCGCGCGCUACAGUAAAGCAGCUGUUUGGUUCACCGUUUAGGUGAUUCCACGGAAUUGCUAUUACAGUCUCAUUCCCUCAGCUCACCGUUUAGGUAUUCAGGGGUUGGGGGUUUGAAUACCUAUUCAACACCACACUGUUUAGGUUUUUGGACCAAAAUAGUCUGCCUCUCUUCUUCCCAAAAUUCUCUCCAGAUUUCUUCCUCAACAUUUAUCUCCAAAUCAAGUCAAGCAUUCAUUCGCCCUUCAUCUUCAUCUCCGAUUCACUUCUGUUUUCCUUGUUCUCUUCUACAUUUAGCAAAUGGGUGCUCUGAGGUUAGAUCUUUUCCUUUCUUUGGCUUUUUAUGUCCAUCUAGAGUUUUAAAGGCUUGGAUCUCUCUUUCAUUUACCUUUUCUUUUUCGGUACAUAGGAAACAAAGAGGAAUUUUGACUUUUGGUCUACAUUUCUUCCAAUACUAGCUUUUAUUCAAGGUCUACUCUCGAUUUCUUGUUUUUCUUGCCUAGAUUUUGCUUGCUUGUUCGAUUUUUUCCCCAGUUUUUCCUGCUUAAGUUAAGCUUGAUCUUGAUGACUAUCAAUUCAUUUUCUCUUAUGUUGAUUGACGAGAGCUAAAAGGAAAAAAAAAGGUAAAUUAUUUAAUAUACAUAUAUGUAUGUCUUGAACUAGAUUCUGUGCUUUCUGUUGAUUAAAAUAUUUUAAGCAUGGUUUAGAUGCUUUCUGUUGAAAAACGAUUUAAGUGUGCUUUAAGCGAGGCUAAAUAGAAAGAAAAGAUUUGUGCAGUUCGCUCAAGAGUUAUGCUGUAAGCAUAAAAAAGGUGAUGCUUGGAUAAACGGUAUCUGGGCAAAACUUUUCCAGAUAUAGGUAGUGGUUAUAUGAAGAGAAACCACUCCUCUUUGAACUGCAGCAAGAUGUAAGAGCUAAAACUCUUCAAGGAGAGUGGGCCAGCUUAUUGUCUGCUACUGUUGCCUUAAUUAGCUCACUCAAUCCUUUUAAGAGGUAAGGGCUUGGUGUCAGUCUUUAGUUUGCCCAUUAUCCAAGUACUCCCAGUACAUUUCUUUCAGAUAUUUAUUCCCUCUUGUAGAUGUAAUAUUGUGGACAUAACUUCCUUGAAUGUGAAUCCUCUACUAAUAUCCCAUGAUUACUGAGUUUGAUUUAUAUUCUUGGAGAUGUUUACAAGCAAUCAUGUUCUCGAGUGUCAAGUAAAAAUGAGUUGAUUUAUGUACUUGGAGACUUGAAAUCAGGUUUUAGAAUGGCUUAUUAAUAAUUAUUUUUGUUUUCGUGAAUGAUCGGAAAACAUUGCAUUCAGUGAUUUCAGCUGGUAUGGAUUAACCGACUUGUUUGUUUGAUGACUAAAUAUCAGGCUGUUAAAGAACCUGUGAGUAAUUCAUCCAAUAUAGCAAAUCAACCAGUUGAAAAACGUGCCAAUUCACCAAGGUAUAUAUGUUUUCCUUUUGUAUCUACUCUUGUAUUUGUAGGAUGUAUUUAGGCCCUUAGCCUUCAAAAUUAUGUAAAGUAGGGUUCACUGACCAAGUGCUGACUGAGUUCUAUCUAUUUGAGUGGCAUAUUUAAGUACAUUCAAGUAGAUAUGUCAAUUGGGUGAGUGGGAUUAGUUUUGGCUUUGGUCAAUUCGUGUUAUAAAAUUUUUUAGUCACUUCGGUUCAGGUCAAUUUCAUGUUUGGAUCAAUUUUAUGUUGGGGUCAUUCCAAGUUCAGGUUAUUUUGGGUUUGAGUCAUUCAGGUUUGAUGCUAAGGUUUUUCGAGUCAGAUUAUUUUCUACACUUGGUAGUUGUAGUAUCACUGUAAUCUGUUGUACAGCCCUUAAUCAAUAUGUUGUUUAGUUGCAUCCAUAGUUUAUUGAAAUUGUCAAACUAUCUCUUAUGUGGCUAACUGUAGAUGAAAAAUCAUUGUUUCAAUAGGCUAAUCAAUCAGAAACUAUAGUCGAGAUCAUUGUAGAAGAUGGCAAAGCAGUCAGCAUUUAUUCGGUUAGUAUUCUUUGCUACCUUGAUUCCAAAUAAUGUAUAUGGAUGGAUGGAUGGAUGGGUAUUGAAUUGUGGAUUUGAAAUAAAUUUGAUUCUUUUUCCUUUUUCCUCUUAAUUUUUUAUAAGCUUUUCUGUUUAAUGUUUUGAGUUUAUUUUAAUCAAUUUUGUAUCCUUUCGAUGUGGUGGUGUCGUCUCGGUAUGGUGUUUAGGAAUGUUUAAUGGAUUGUCCUUUGCAUUUUUGGGUUUCCAAAUUGUUAAAAAAUAUUAUAGUGGAGAUGCUCAAAUUGGGUUAAAAUAAUUAAAUUGGGUUUAAUUAUUUUUUUUAUAGUGGAGAUGCUCAAAUUGGGUUAAAAUAAUUAAAUAAAAACUAUUUUUUUUCGAAUGUGCCCCAAUAAUGAUUAAAUUUUUUUAAAUUGGUCAAAUAAGGAUUAAUGUAUUCAAAUAAUGGUUUAAUUUAGUUAAAUAAAAGCAGUUUCAAGUUAUAUUUUUACUUUUUAAAAAUAAUAUUAGGUGUAUUCAACUGUAAAAAAGUAUUUACCUACUUGGAUGUUAUAUCUAUGUUUGGGAGUCAUACGUUUAAUGGAGAAGAUGGUGAAAGAGUGUAUGGGGUUACUUUGGCUGGUAAAGCUUUUGUUAAUGACGAACAUAAUGGAUCUUUGGCUGUUUUUACUAGCGACAAGGCCAACAUUGAAGUCUGGUAAGUUAUAUAUUUUGGUAUAAUCUCAAUUUUAGUCUUCAGCGGUUACAUCUUAUUAAAAAUAAAAAUAACCCCCGAAGUUCUUAUAGCAAAUCAAUUAUCACAAUGUUGAGACUAAUACUACUUUGUUAAACCACAUUAAAUUAAAUUGUACUGUUAAGUUGGAAUCUAGUUUAUGGAUGAAUAUGAAUUAAUCAACCCUUCAAAUAAUAGUAAUGAUUUUAAAAAUCAAAGUUUGAAAUUAUGUAAUUUGGAUGUGGAUGUAUUUCAAGAUUAGAUGUUCAUUAUUAAUUUCUCUUUUAAUGUUCAAGAUAUUAUUAUUUGCUAAACAAAGAGUUGAUUUUGUUGAAUGAAAUUUGAUAAAUAUGUAUUGUUCAUUUUUCUUUGACAGUGCGUUAUUACUUCCUUUUCUUAUUUGGCUUGCUUGAUUGCUUCCUCCACUCACAGUUGAGCUUCUUGUACUCACUAAACUACUGUAAGUUCUUUAAUCAAUUAAAUUCUUUGAUUUUGUUUUACUUUUGUUGAAAUUAGUAUUGAAGAAAUGUGACCUUUUUACUAUGAUUUGAAGAUAUGUAACACUUUAAUAUCUUGCAGUAAUGGCUCGUCUGCCUUUAAUAGUACAAAGUGUGAGGCGUAAAAGAAUUGGUCUUGCAGUGACAAUAUGGUUGCGACUGUGUACAGUUGCGAGUUGGUUCUUACUUACAUUGGGUGCCAUCCAUAGCCCACAUACUUAUAAACCAAGGAUUGGAUCCUAUAUUUUAGAUUUUUAUGCAAAACGAGAUUAUGUGAAAAGACUUGUAUAUGCUAGUGACGAGACCUGUAUUGAACAAGUUAGGAUGAAGAGAACUAUAUUUUUUAAACUAUGUGAGAUGUUACAAACUUUAGGGGGAUUGAAGUCGUCAAGGAACACGCUUAUUGAUGAGCAAGUGGCAAUGUUUUUACAUAUAAUUUCUCAUCAUCUUAAAAAUCGAGUUAUCAAGCAUCACUUUAAUAGGUCUGGGAAAACCGUUAGCAGAUCAUUUCACAAUGUUUUAAAUGCUGUCAUACGCUUACAAGAUGUGCUAUUUAAAAAAGCAGAGUCAAUUACAGCUAAUUCUACAGACCCAAAGUGGAAAUGGUUCAAGGUAUUAAAGUGAGUUCUAUAUAUAGCUCGUACAUAAUUUAGUUGAGUUAGAUUUAAAUAUAGUAUCCUAACUCAAGGUUUUAUACAUGUGAUAUAGAAUUGUUUAGGUUCUUUAGAUGGAACCUACAUCAAGAUUAGGGUUCCAACAGUUGAUAAAUCUAGAUAUCGAAUGCGAAAAGGUGACAUAGCAACAAAUAUGUUAGGUGUUUGUACACCUGAUAUGCAAUUUGUUUAUGCUCUUCCUGGUUGGGAAGGUUCUAUUGCUGAUGGUAGGGUUCUUCGAGAUGCCAUUAGUAGGAGACAUGGAUUAAAAGUUCCUCAUGGUAAAGUGCAAAAUUAGAAGACUUUGAAUAAAUCUUUAAGAUCAUACUUUUUUGGGAAAUUAAUCAUGACAAAUAGUUUUUUUUAUAGGUUGUUAUUAUCUAGAUGAUGCUGGAUACACAAAUUGUGAGGGAUUUCUUGCACCUUUUAGAGGACAAAGAUAUCAUUUGAAUGAGUGGCGUCAGGGUUACCAGCCAAGUACUCUGGAAGAAUUUUUCAAUAUGAAACAUGCUUCAGCGCGUAAUGUUAUUGAAAGAUGUUUUGGGUUAUUAAAACUUAGAUGGGGAAUACUUAGGAGUCCAUCGUUUCAUCCUGUGAGGGUGCACAAUAGAAUCAUUAUUGCCUGUUGUUUGCUCCAUAAUUUUAUUCAAACCUAUAUGAGUCUUGAAUCUAUUGAAGCAGAGUUGGGAGAAUGAUUACCUAGUAAUGUGAUAGAUGACGAUGAUUCAAAUAUCGUAAAUAUUCAUCCAUCAGAUGCAUGGCUACUUGGAGGAUGGAACUAGCCAAUCAAAUGUUCGAUGAAUGGCAAGCAUCUAGAAAUUAGUUAGGUUUAGGGUAAAAGUAGUAAACGUUAAUUCGUUUAUGUUAUUUCAUGAAUCUAGUUUAUGAAACUUUGGUGGUGUUUGAAUUAUUUUUUUGUAUUGUACUAGACUUGUUGAAUUAUAAAUUAUUUUGUAUUGAUUCAUCAUGUGUUAUAAUUUUAUAAAGUGUUCACUUUUUUAUUCAUAAUAUUGAACUUAUGUUUAAUUUUUUUUCCUUAAGAUAAUUAUGUCAAGUUUUUCACAAGCAUGUGUUUCUUCCCAAAAUUCUCGAGGAACCAAAAGGAAAUGGCUUCCAGAAGAAGAUGCUGCGUUGGUUGCCUGUAUGGUCGACUUGCACAAUGUUGGAACCUUUAAUGCUGAUACGGGAUUUAAAGCCGGUUAUUUAAAUGAGUUGGAAAAAAUGUUAGAAAAAGUUUUACCCGAUGCCAAGUUGAAGGCUAAACCUAAUCUUGAAUCGAGGAUUAGGACAUUGAAAAGGGAUUGGUCAAUCGUUUAUGACAUGCUCAGCGGAAAAAACAAUAGCGGUUUUGGUUGGGAUGAGAAUAGGCAGCUUGUUGUUGCUGAAGAUGCGGUGUGGAACUCAUAUAUAAAAGUAAGAAUUAUUUCAAGUCUUUAUUAUCUUAAUUUGACCAAACUUAUAUCUAAUAUGAAUUCUUCUUUUUUUUUCAGAGUCAUAAAGAAGCCGCUCAAUUCAAACAUCGUAGUUUCCCUUAUUAUGACCAACUUACAGCCAUCUACAGAAAAGAUCGAGCCACUGGGAAAGAUGCUCAAACAGCCGCUGAUAUUAUUGAAGAAAUAGAUGCUGAGGAUGUAGCUACUACAAAUACUCAUGAAGAAAGAAAUGAUUUUCAUGGAUGCGAAGCUGAUGUUUCUUUGGAUGACAUGAAUCUUUCAGGCACACAACAGCAACCAGCUAUAAACCAAGGUGAUUCCACAUUUUCAAAGAAGAAGAAAAAGAUUUCUGAUGCAAGUGAUCAUAUUUCAUCUACUUCAUUUAAUGAUGCUGCCACUUUAUUAGCGGAAAAGAUCGAGACCGUUGGCGUUGAAAUCAGUAGGAGUAUUGCUUCCGAGGUGCUAAUUCAACAAAGGUCAGAAAUGACACUUCAAGAAAGUGCUCUAAAAUUAUAUCCAACAUUAUGUGAAGUAGAAGGUUUAACUGAGGAUGAGCGCUAUUGCGCUUUGAGCAAAAUUCCAGAUAAUCCAACGCAAAUACUCAUUUUCUUUAGUUUACCUUCUUCUGUGCGAUUGGGAUGGGUCAGAAGAUUUCUUACUGACCAUUAAAAAAUUAUAGUUGUGUUGAUGAUAUUUUGGUAACUUUUUGUGUUUGUAAUAGUUGGAUGGUAUAAUGACAUGAUAGAAUGUCAUUACAAUGUUGUAACUUUUUGAGGUUGUAAAAUUUUAUAACAUAUGGAUUAUGACAUAUAAACUAAUGAAAUCAUGUCACUUUUUGUUAAUAUAUGAAUAUUAUAUUUGGAUGUGAAAUAUGAUUCUCAAGUUAUUUAUUACUUCUUAUAUUUUACUUUUUAUUGUAGAAUAAUCAAAUUAUUUAUUUCACUUAUGAUAUUUUAGCACAUUAUGUAGUGCAGUUUAAAAAUAAUAAAGUAGAUUAUAUAUUAUUUUUAUACUAUUAUAUAUUAUGAUUUUUUAAUUUAUUUAAUAAUAAUUAUAUUAAGAAUUUUAUUAAAUUAUAUAUUAUUUUAUUAAAUUAUAUUUAGUAAUAAUCAUGUUAAAAUAUGAUUAAAUUAUUUAUUAUUUUUAUUAAAAUAUUUUUAAUAAUAAUCUUAUUAAAAUUUAAUAAUAAUAACAAUAAUCAUAUGGUAUGCUAAAUUCAUUUUUUUAUAUCGGCAAUUGUGACCUAAGACAACAGGUGAAAGGCUAGAUUAAAACAAAUAUAUUAGGCAUUGAAAUGUUCUUAAUAAUAAUUUUAAUAUAAAAUUAUUAUUAAAUAUUAUUAAUAAUUAUAUUAAUAAUGUUAUUAAAAUAUAUAUUAUUUUAUUAAAUUGCAUUUAAUAAUAAUUAUGUUAAAAAUGAUUAAAUUAUUUAUUUUUAUUUUAUUAAAAUAUAUGUAUCAAUAAUCUUAUUAAAAUUUAAUAACAAUAAUCAUCUACCAACAAAAAUUCUGUUAAGGGUCCUUUGGUCAUUUUAGCCUUUUUUCUUAUGCUAUUACAACAUCAUUCCAUUCAACCAAACACAAGAAUUCUAUUACAGCUCUAUUCCAUUCCAUUCAACCAAACAGUUGAAUUACUGAUUACAGCUCUAUUCUAUCACAGCUCUAUUCAAUUACAGCCCUAUUCCAUUAAGUGAACCAAACGUAUUGUUAGUCUAUGCACUUUUAUUUUUGGCUUAGUCCCACUUUUUAGAUAUCAAAAUUCAGGUUUAGCUAUUAGCAUUGUUAAAAUUAUUUUGUUAAAUUCAUGUUUAUUAUAAUGUUAUUUUUUAGUUGCAUGGAUACUGAGUAUUUUUAUUUAAAAAAUUGACGUAAAAAAGUUGACAAAAAAAAUUAACAAUGUUAACAAUUGAACUUGAUUAUCAAAUCUGAAAAGUAGAGAGACUAAAUUCCAAAUUGUAAAGAGUACAUAGACUUAUGACAUAUUUUAACUUUUAUACUACAAAACAUUUAUUAUUAAUAUAUUUAUAAUUAUAAUAAAUAUUUAUUAUUAAAAUAUUAAUGUUGAUUAUUUUUCAAUAAUAUAUGAAGAAAAUUAUUUAAAAUUAUUGUUUUUAAAAUUUAUUAUUAAUGUAAAAUUGAAAUAUUAAAUAAUUUAUUAAAAUAAUAAAUUAUAUUAAUAAAUUAUUAUAUGAUUAGAUAUAGAUAAUUAAAUAUGUAUGCUUAAUAAAAUUGAAAAUUAUAGUAUUUUAUAUUAAUAUUUUAUUAAUAUUAAAUAUUUUUAAAAAUAAAAAUUUAUUAUUAAUAUAAUAAUAUUAAGCUUGACUUAAGUUAAUUUUUAUACAAAAAUAAAAUCACCCAUAAAGAAGCUAUUUUUUGGAAAAUAAAUUACGCUUUUUAGAAGAAUAAAUCAUUUUCUAGAAAAAAAAGAAUUUAUUUUCCAUUGAUCAAAUUAUUUUUCAUGAAAUAAACACAGAAAAAUGUAGAAAAUAUUUUAUGGGAAACAAAUAGAACUUAAUGAUUGAAUGUAAAAAUGCAGAAAAUAUUUUCUAUGAAACAAAUAUAACCUAAUGAUUGAAUGUAAAAACAAUGUAAUUAUAAUUUUUUCAUAAUUAAAUAAUCAAAAUGAAAACAAUGUAAUUAAUUAAAUAGUUGACACAAAAACUUUUUACUCACCUUUAAAGUAAUUGUUUUUUGUUAGAAGUCCUAAAUAUAAUUUCUGUUAUAUUCAGUUUUUAAAUAUAGUUUUUUUAUUAAAAACUCCUAAAUAUAAUUAUUUUUAUUCCUUAAAAAAUGUUUUUGUAUUUAAUAAGAAAACAUGAAAAAAUGUUGAGACAUGAAAUUAAAGUAGAAAGCAGACAUUUUUCGAUGGUCAAAUUUUAAUAUAUAUUUAGAGAAGUUAAUAUAAUAAUUAAUUGUAUAGUAAAAACAUGUCACAAGAAUACUUUAAAAUUAAUCAUAUUUGAGUUAACUGUUAAGAAAAUAUUAUUAGAUGACAAAACUGAGAGAUCUUAUGUAAGGAAUAAUAAAUAGGUCCUACCGCCACUUAUGGUCUUCUUCUUCUGUAAAGAUAAAAUUGAAACGCUACAUUCCGUAGGUUUACAGGUACAGGCUCGAACUACAAUACAGCCCAUACUUGAUGAACACAUGCCACUUUCCAUCUUCAAAACGUGCAAGAAAUUCCUAUUCUUUAGUUCAAAGCCCCACAUGGCACAUGCAUACAUGGGUGCCCAAAACUUUCCGUUAACCUCUACAAUUUUGUUGAACUUUAGAACCCAACUUUUGACACAUCCACUGAACAAUGUGGGUGCCCAAAUUCUUUUCAUAGUCAAAAUUCAACAGUUAUUUGCACUAAAAAAUCAUGUCUGUUAUUUGAUGAUGAUGAUAAUAAUAUAAGGUAUUUGUAGAAGUUACGCUAGGUAGCUAUAUAUAUAUGUGUUAAAAGGAAAAAAAUAGUUAUAGUAUAAGAAGUAGGAUAUGGAAUAAAAUAGAAGCAUGAUUAGUUUAGAAAUACUAAAUUCAACAUAUUAAAAUUUAAAAAUCUGUUAAAUAGGUCAUUCUUUUUUGUUCGUAUUAUUUAAUUGAUUGCAUAUGGAUAUAUCUAGCGUGCUUUUCUUUCUCUCUUGAGGGUUUUUCUGGGCCAACAAUUCAUUUAUUUAUUUAAAUAAAUAUAGCAAAGGUUAACUAUCAUGGUUGAUUAAUAGGUGGGGUAUGCAAUUAUAUACCCAUCUCCUUCACGUAUCUAAUUAUAUAUUCUGCUGCUGAACCAAUGAAAUCUAAGUAGCGGAUGAUAUCCAUUUAUAUUAAUUAAUAACUCAUUCGAAGUAACUUGGUUUUUAUUUAUUUAAACUCUACCAUUUCAAAUUAUAUGUAUAUAUAUAUAUAUAUUUAUUACCAUCUAACAAAUUAGGUUAUGGGAAAUAUGUUUUUGUUGUAUAAUCAAUAUAAUAAAAUGUGCUUCCUUUUUAACAAUAACAAUCAUGUUCUAAAAUUUCAACUUCGGACAUAACCAUAAACAUAAUUAAGUGAAAUAUGUUAACAGAAGAUUUAGUGAAGGAGAUUGGUCACUGGGAGGAGGAUAGAACUACAUACCGUUCAUAUAAGAGUCAGGUUUUUACACAUCCAUUUAAACUAUCCCAUAAACACAACUUACAGAUAUGAAUCCCAUAACCUUGAGUAUAUAGUGAAUCAUUGACCAAUUGGACAGGUCAAAGUUAUCAAGUUAUUUACUUCAACGAGAAAAUCCAAAGCCAAAAGAUUAAACAAUUUGGAAUGAAGUGGGAACAGUUGGAAAAUAAAAUGGAAUGUGUAGCUUGUUUUGUAAGAAACAGGAGACAAGUCAGUUCAAAAAUGUAAAAAUUCUACAUAAUUUAUCAAAACGUAAAUAUUUAAUGGAUAAGUUGUCUACUGAAUAACGACAAACCUGUAUUUUGUAACAAUUAAUUAGAAGAUGGUGAUGUAGUUCAAUGGUAGAUAACCCUUUAAAUAAAAACUUGUUUGAUGGCCUAAAGGCUCGGUCAUUCCUAACAAAGACCAGCUUGCAGGUAAUGUGUUGUUGAAUCCUUUUAUCGGGGACCUUGUUCAUCAGCAAUCAGGGCAGGUCUAGGAACACGAAACCCACCAGAAAAACAGUGCAAUUUUCUGCAAAUCUUAUUGCUAACUCUUCUAAAAGCAAGUGCGUGCAAGUUGUUGUAUAUUGACAAUGACUCCAAGAAAUAAAUAAUAGAUUAAUUAACAACCAGUCCACCUUAUAAAUAAAACUAAAAUAAUAUUUAAUAAAAUUGAAAUUCUGAGUUCCAUAUGGAUUUUAGCUUGUUGGAGAAUCGAAUUUUGGAGUACUAGGGUUCCACCUUAAACUUUUCUACCGGCAAUCUUAUUGCUUGGUUCUUUGUCUGUAUAGUGGCAUUCUCAACCUGGGUUUCCUUCAAUAUGUAAUUCCUUAGCUCUCUGCUCCGGUACAUGUCUCAAAAGUACAUACACCAAGUGUUAUGUACGGACUUUUAUCAUCAUAAAAUUGAGAUAUAUAACAUGGCAUGAACAUGGAUUCGUCGAUACAAUAAUAUAUGAUAUUAACAAUCCAUGAAAGGCAUGACAAUAAAUUUUUUUUUAUAAUACUUUCUCAUCCAAUAUACUUAAUUUCUUCUAAAAACUAUGAAAUUUUAAAAAAAAAAUACAAAGAAAGAAGAACUUUCAUCUUAUAUUCAAUCGUGUCCAGGUUUGUUUCAAUUGUGUCCAAGCAUAUCUUUACCGUGUAUGUUUCUUUUUUGAUGUCUUGCCCUGCAGUUCCGGAUCUGUAUAUGGCGCCGUAUUGAAAGUGUGCUUUUGUCGGGUAUGUAUUUUACACGGCUAGUGGCGCCUUGCAUGCUGUGUAUGUCCUCCUUAGUUCAUAUGCAUGUGCUAUAUACCACCUCCAGAGGAACUCUGUAUCGUAGAUUGCUGCAAACCAAGGCCUAAUUGAAGAUCCAAGGAUUUACAGCUUUGCUUUGUUGGAGUGGAAGAAGGCGGCUUGAAGACAGGCCUGUUAUCCCUUGAUCUGUCAUCUUGUAUUAACGUGAACAUGGAUGAAUCUCGCUGGAAAGGAAUCAUUUCAGAAGGUAGGCUGUACAAAUUCGAUGCAUGAGAGCCAUUAAAAUGGCUAUCUUGCUCGAAUUGACUGAAACUUAUUUGAGAUUCUUCGCAAGGAGUGAAAUCAGCAGUAGCAUAAGCGGGAGAAUCAUAGUACCAUGGAGAGCCGAAACCAAGACUGCUCUGAAAAGGUUGAAGAUAACAAUUGAGGCUGGCCCUCUUGGCUUGAAGUUGCAAUCUUUUCUUCUUCAUCCUCUCUUUCUUGUGCGCAUUUUGAUGACCUCCAAGCGCCUGUGAGUUGGCGAAUUCCUUGAAGCAAUAUUGGCACUCGAAUUUCUUGUCGUCCGCCUCUACCAUCGAGCUUUUCUCCUUGGCUGUAGAAGAAAUGGUGUUGGAUGAAUUCACACUUUCAUCACCUUCACCACAAACUUUCAUGGAGUCGCCAUUGCUGUUGCUCGGGUUGAGCUCAAACCCGAACAGUCUAAGCUUUUUCUCGACAGAGAAUCCAGCUUGAGAAUAACCAUUUUCGCAAUCACAUGCAUCUUUUUCCAUCUCUCUUGAAAUUGAGGAAAGUAUUGAUGUAUCUAUGAGCCUAUGACUAUGAGUUGUGUGGUUUGUCUACCUUUAUAUAGUAACUCUCCAAUCUCUAAGGUUUCCAACAAUUCAAAGCAUCUUAAAGUGGAAUAGUUUAAUAAUAAUCAUGAACAGCAUAAACGUAAAAAUGGGUCAAUAGCAAAAAAAAAAAAAAAGAAAAGAAAAAGUCAGAUCGGAGAAGCCGUAUGAUUCAAUAAUAUGGAAAGAAAAUUGUUAUUGGUUUAUAAAAAUAAAAAUAAAAACAAAGGUGUCCAUUUUGUAGUAGAUAUACACUUGAAACUUUCUCAAUCAAAGAGGAUUCAGUGUUUUCAUUUUUAACGAUGAAUUCUAUGGUCUGUAAACCAAUUUUAAAUUAGAUAAAGACAAUCAAUUAUGGAAGCACUUGCACAUUUAAAACAAAUAUUCCGUUCUCAAAGACAAGAUUAAAGUUACUAUUAUAAUAAUCCCUAAAUUAACACAAAGUCAAAGAAAGAAGGGGACGUAAUCUUCAUGGUAGGAAGGGAUUGUAGCUUUUCAAGAUAUCCCAAAUCCUCUACCGUUCUUCAACCCCCCCCCCAUAAUAUCCAAAUGCUUAUUUUCUUAUAUUUUAAAUCCAACUAAUCUCUCAGUGGAUUCAUAAUGUCAUAAUUAAUAAUGCUCUACCUCAUCUCCAAGCUUAUCAAUAACUAAAUUAGCAGCACUUUGUAAUUGUAGGAAAAUUUUCACAAUAAAAAUCGAAUUCAAAAAUUAAUGCAGCUUAAACACAUUUAUAAUAAAAUAGGUAUUGCUAAAUCUAUCAACAUAUAUUUAAUUAAUGCAUAAAUAAUGUUGAGUUCCUGUAGCACUUGAUGCAGCUUCCCUGUAAUUACUAAUAAUCAUUCUCCACCCACAAAGGUGUUUUUAUUUUAGUUUUAGGAAAAUAUAAAUAAAGUUGGGGUGAUAUGUCUAAAUUGACCAAGUUUUGAGAAAGGGAUUAAAAUAUUAAGAGUAGUUCGCUAAAUAAAGGAAUAUAAAGAAGUGGGGAAUGAUCUAAGCAUAUAUACUAUAAUGAAUAGGGGUCUUGGAUGAGAUCUGGGCAUAUCUUCUUAGAGCAGGGAAAGCCUAUAUUUUAUAGCAAAAGCAUAUGUUUUCAGGUGAAUCAAGUCAUCAACCCUAUAUUAUUGUAUUACAUUAUAAAAAGCAUUUGUGUUGGACAGUUGUUGUGGUUUUGGACCCCACUUUGUGUAGCUUUAGGGACAAUUUUAGAAACUGUAUUAGAUUGUGUUGUUAUUUCAAUGUCUCCAUAGCUUCUUCAUCUUUCAUUGGUCGAACAAGUCCACCAAUAGAUCUCUCUCAUGCUACCCAAAUCCCCACUUCUUUAUUUCUUUUCUCCAAACCUAUUCAAAUUGCUUUCUUGCUUUUGGACAUAGGCAUGCUUUCAUUGAUUCCUCUAUACUAUUAUCGUAUAUAAAUUGUCAAUAUUGUACCAAAUAAAAUUAAAAGCAUAUAAACUAUUAAUUAAUUCAAUUCAUUGAGCUUUAAAUUAAUACUGGUAUUACUUUUAUAUUGAAUUGUGGGUUUUUUUUUUAAAUAGUUGUCAUAAAGCAUUCUGAUUAUCCUAACAUGUGGAAUAAACUGAGACCAUUGUGAAGGUAAAUGGGUUAUGGUGGCAAAGUGGGUGGGUGGGUUGAUUGAUUGAUUUCAGCUGGUUUCAAUUCAUUUUAUCCCCUGCUUUGAUAGAGGAUCAAAAGGUGGCCCACCCCUCCCAAAUUCCUGUUUCCAUCCAAUCUUCUCUUCUAGACAACUCCAAAAAGCGUUUAAUUAUCUUUAAAGAAACCCACAAAGAAUGCCAAGAUUGACCAAGGCAAACCUUGAAUAAAUAAAAUAUCCCUAAUAUUUAAGUUGAUUUAACAAAUACUUGAGCUACAUAUGAUAUUAUUAUCUCUAAAAGAAAAUUUCCAAUGUGUUUCCACCACUUAAUUGAAUUUUUUGAUGCAAAAGCUAAGCUCACUUUGAGGAAGUUCAUAAUAUAAGUUGCACCAUCUUGGAGAAGGGACUGGUGGCUCAAAGUGGAAACUUCCCAGUAAUGGAAAAGAAGGAGGGAAGCAGAGGGGACUGAGGCUAAUGGUGGAGAAUUGCAGGUGUGGGAAGGCACUAGGAAAUUCAUCCAGCUGGUGGAAUACUUGAAUAAACAUGUAACAUAAGCUAUACCCAUUUUUCAACUUUACUGUUAUUUGUAAACUAAAUGACAAGUUGAAACAACAGUGAAAGCAAUAAAUUAAUGAUAAAGCUGCCACCAAACGUAAUAGAACAAACAGGAAUUUCACAUGUUGAUUGUUUACUACAUAUAUCAAACUAUAAAUCAAAGCAUAGUUCUGAUGGUGAUAAAGACAUGGCAAACUGUGAUUGCUGGUUGUUGCAACAUUAGUAGUUGAGGGUUACACAUCCAUGGAGGUACUAAAUGAUCACUUCCAAAUUAGUGGAGCCAAUAUUUAUUCCAAAUAAUAAGCUUCCUGCAAUCUUUAGCUUACAUGUAAUUACAUGUUAAUUCCAUUCGUAUGAAAUUAUGGCGUUGGAAUUUGAGAUAAAUGUGGAAUAUAGAAAUUUAUUUGAUAAAAACAUUUUCGAUAUUGUUAUUUGAGAUGAUCAAAUAAAUCACAAAGUAGCAUUUCAGAAGAUCAAUAUCCUUGGUCAACUGAAUUCUCUUAGACUACAUCUUGGAUUAAAAUUGCUUUAGUAAAUGUUGGAAAUGAAGUGUUUUCAAAAGAAUUCCACAAGUCUCUUUGGAUUUUGUUUAUAAGCCAUAAUGUGUUAUUGGACUUCAAGGGCUAGUAGAAAAGAGGGGUUACAUGCAUGAGAAUUAAGCUUGAAAGUCUAGUAUGUUGCAAAUUGAUUGAUUCCUCCCUCCCUAGCCAAAUUGUUUUAAUUUCCAGAAAUUGAUCAAAAUCUUUACGAGCUGUAACUCCUUACAUUCACUCGAGUAGCCGUUGUUACUUCCUUUAUCUUCUCAAUCAACCGUUGCAAAAUAGCCAUUGCUAUGAUUACAAUUUUAUUUUAUUUUAUAUUUUGUAGUCCAAAAGGCUUAUUCUGAAAAGCCACUUUUUCUCAACAAAUUAUGUUUGUACAAGUCCAAUUUUGGGCCCAAAACCCCAAAACACACUAAGCCAAUAACCUCAAAACCUACUAAACUCAAAACUCAACAGCAGCCCAAUUCAAAACCUAAAACGAAAAGAACAACAAACCCUAGCUGUUGCCUCCCUGUCCCAUCACCACUUGCCUGGCCACCGUCUUUGCUGCAGCACCGCCCCAUUAAGUCCAUCGCCACAAGCACCUGCAAUGCAUUAAACAAGAAUAGAUAGAAAGCAAGAAAGAGGGCAGUGUAAACAAAUAUAUAAGCAAGAAUAAACAAUGUAAAAGGGCUUUUUUUUUUGCUUCCUGAUUUUCAUUUUAUUCUCAUAAUGCAAAAGCAAUAUUAACAUAAAAAACAUACUCAAACACAAAAACUCAAAAUCGAAGCAAAACAGAUCGAGGGCCAAAUCUAAGGUUAUCGAUUUUUCUUUUUAUUUUUUUUAUUUUGUUUUCGAAUUUAUUUGUAUAUAUAGUAUCCCUUCUAUUAAAACAAUACACACAUAUAUUAAACGAAUAAAUAUAAUAAAAAAGGGGAAAAAUCUUUACCUCGGGGCGAUUUUCGGCCAUCGUGUACGUUAGCUGGCAUGGCGGACGACACAGCGGCGGACGGCUGGCUCCUCGCCGGUUUCUGGGCAAACCCAGAGAAAAAAGAAAGAAGAUGAAGUUUUUUUCUUAAAACAGAAUAGAGAAAUGAAUUUUUUUUUAAAAAAACUGACUUAUAUAGGGCCUGCAAACGACGCCGUUUCAUCAAGCUCCCAAAACGCCCAAAACGACGUCGUUUUGGGGGCCGAUCCACGACCCGACCCGUCUGCCCGAAAGAUCCGCGUGUUUUUGCACGCAUGGUCUAAUUAUUUGUGCAGUCCUUCCGAUGUUUACAUGUUUUGCAAUCAAGUUUUUAAUUCUUUUAAAUUAGCCCCGAGGUUUAUCGCAUUUUUCAAGUUGGUCCUCCCUUCAGCGGCACCGUUUCAAGGGCUCGGGUAAAUUGCCCUUUUGGACCUCAUAUGUUAUUUUCACUUUCAAAUUAGUCCCUUCUCUUUAUUGGCAUUUUAAAUCAGCCUCAAAACUUAAUAUUUGUUUCAAAUUUAGUCGCUUUCUCCUAUUUGGUACACUUUCUAUAUUAUUUUUACUCUUUGUUAUUUUAAUAUUAUUCAUUAUUCUAUAGUACCAUUCUUGUAUUAUUAUUUUUAGCAUAUUUUAUUAUUAUUUAGCCCCUUUUAAAUUAAUACUAUAUAUAUACAUAUUAUAUAUAUUCUUAUAGUUGUUUUAUAUAUUAUUAUUGUUCCUAAUAUAUGUUUUAUGUAUACAUAUUCAAAUAUUCUAUUAUGUACAUUUUGUUAUAUCUAUUUUUACCUCUAUAUUAUUAAUAUUUAUUAUAUAUCUUUAAUAUAUAUACGUAUACUUUUAUAUAUUAUUGUUAUUAUUAGUUUUGAUAUUAUUGUUUUGUUAAUACAUUUGUGUCAUAUAUACAUACUUUUAAUAUAUAUUUAUAUAUUAUACUUCAUAUUAUGCUCAUGUAAAUUAAUAUUAUAUUGUGUAUAUCAUUUUAUUAUAGUUUUAUAUAUUGUAAAUAUCAUAUUAUGUUUUACCAUGUAUAUACAUUUUAAUAUCUCAUAUAUUAUAUAUAUAUGUAUAUUAUGUAUAUUUUCCUUUUUUAAUACUACGUAUAUAUUUUAUUUCUAUUAUUACGUAUAUAUCUCAAUGCGUCUAUGUAUAUAUCUGCGCAUCGUUUUAUAUUAUUAUUAUUUAUGUUAUCGCUAUUAUCAUCAUCUACGUUAUCAUCGCCAUUUUUAUUUUGGCAUGUUUUAUUCAUUUUCAUUUAUUUACUCAUGUAUUCGAUCGUUUUAUUUUCCUCAUGCAUUUAUUUAUAUUUACAUGUUACUAACAUUUCUAUUUAUUCAUCACUUAUAACUGCUCAUGUUAUUAUUUUUUUGACACUAUCACACCUAUCAUUAUGUUAUUAUACAUAUUAAUACCCUAAUUUGUUUUAUAUUUUACUAUAAAUCACGUUUUUACUUAAUAUGUUAAAAACGAUUCUUUCAUAAAAGUAAUAUCUCGUAUUAGGUAAUUCGAGAUAAUCGUACCCUAACUUACUGGAUUUCGACUUUUCUCAUUUAACCUAAAUAACAGAAUAUAUUCUUUUUAAAUCACUAUACGAGUUUUGAAAAAUGCUUAUUCUCGAAGAUGCGAAGUGUUGUGCCCUAACUUACCGGGUAUGACAUUUUGUCAUCUCGAAAUAAGAGUUUGUUUUGAAAUAAAGGCAAUAUUCGAUGUUUGAGAAUUCGAGAAAACGUGCCUUAACUUAUUGGGUUUCGAUAUCUCUCGUUUACUCUAAAUAAUCGAAUACCCUUUUAAUAAAAUACACAGAUUUUAUAAAAGGCAAGCUCGCUCUCGAAAAUUCAAGAUGUUGUGUCCUAACUCACUGGAUGUGACAUUUUAUAUUUUGAGUUGAGAAGGUCUUUAAUAUUUAAGCAUUCAUACAAAGAGGGAUUGUGUUUUAAAUUCUUUCAAGUUUUCGAAUCUUCGACACUAAGACACUAAUUAAUCGACUAGGUACCAAUUUUGGGCGUAUCGAGGGUGCUAAUCCUUCCUCGUGCGUAACCGACUCCCGAACUCAUUUUUUGAUUUUCGUAGACCAAAACUUAUCGUUUUGAUAAAUCUUAACUUUUAUUAAAAUGACUAGUUUAAGGUGAUCCGAUCACACCUCAUCAAAAAAGGAUUGGUGGCGACUCCCUUUUUUUUCGUUUUCAUUUUCAAAAUUUAAGUCAUUCCCGUUUUUCAAAAAAUGGUUACGACAGCUUGGCGACUCCGCUGGGGAUACCACAAAAGAGUCAAGCUACAUGUUGAUUAACUUUUGUCUUUUUAUCGAAAAUUGAAAAUUUGAUUUUGAUAUAUGAUCCUUUCAUUGCAUUUCACUCGUUUUCUUGCGGUUUUCAUCAUUUUAUUCCUAUUUUCUUUAAUCGCUUCGAGUUUUUAUGCAUAUAUCCUCGCACAUUGCAUUGCAUGACCGCUGUGGUCACACCCCUUUAAGUGGGGGUGAGAAACUACUCUUUCGUGAGGUUUUCAUCUCCGUGCAGGAUAGUGGAUCGCUUUCGGGAUACAUCCAUACCUAUGUCUUCGUGAGAUUUUCAUCUCCGUGCAGCCAUAGGGAAAUGUAUUUCCCUAAACUGAACUUGGUCUGUAUGAGCCUAUAAUGGGUGAAGAUCGAGGAAUCUGCUGGUUCAGGUACCCUCACUCUAGAACCAAGCCCCAUGUAGCGAGCCUUAAGAACCCACCCUAGGUAGAGCCACUCCGAAACCUAGUGGUUACCUGAGCAAGUGCUAUAUUUAUUAUUCUUUGUUUGCUUUGAACUGUGUAUGAAUUACUGACUUGCUUUGUUUUACUUUAAUUGUAUUUGCAUGGCAUUUUCAUCAUAAAAGGUGUUGAUUCGUAUUCGGUUCUUAAAUAGAUAGCUUAUCAUGGAAAAAGGGUUUUUUGAUAAAGUAAAAGACAAAUGCGGCUGUCCGAAUAUGGGCUGAGACAACACAACAAGAGAAAGGUGACAGUCUUAUCGAAGGGUACGUGUCAGAGUUUUGGAAUUUUACUCGGAUCAGCGUAACUCAGAAUAAUCUCCAACAUAUGAAAGAAAUUUAGGGUCAGUGGGAUGACGAGGUCAAACAGCUAUUCUAUUAUCAUUACGGUGAUUUACCUUAUCUGCUAGAUGUCAAGGUAGAUGAACACCUAUUUCCAGCCCUUGCCCAAUAUUGAAAUUCUGCUUACAGUUGCUUCACUUUCGGGAAAGUAGAUUUGGUACCUACUAUAGAAGAAUACACGACCUUGCUCCAUUGCCUAAAGAUUCAGGUUGACAGAAUUUGUGCCAGACCUGCUAACGUCCCAGCAUUUUCAAAAAAGCUGAUGAACAUCACAGGGAUGAGUGAACAGUGGGUGACAACCCGGAUCAAACAAAAAUGAGAUUGUAAAUGCAUUCCUUGGAGGAACCUGAGGGAUCUAAUCUUAGCGCACCCCGACGUGAAGAAAAGGGUAGAUGUCUUUGCCUUGAGCGUUUAUGGACUGGUCAUCUUCGCCAAAGCUUUGGGGCAUGUAGACGAGGCUGUUGCCGACCUUUUUGACAGGCUUGGUAAAGGAACCACACCUGUACCCGCAAUAUUGGCUGAAACUUUCAGAUCAUUGAAUGCUUGUAGAAGAGCGGGUAAAGGGAGAUUUAUUGGAUGUGCACAACUCUUGAUAUCUUGGUUCCACAGCCAUUUUUGGAAAAUGAAAAAGGUCUCGUGUCGUAUCUUCUCUGAAAAUUACUCUCCGCUGAAAGAGUUAGUGGCUACACCGAGGCAAGAUGAUGUUACAAAAGAAAAUUGGAUGACGGUUCUCUAAAAUUUGCAAGAAGAAGAUGUUGAAUGGAGAGCCCUGUGGAUGGUUCCUGAUGAAAUAUUAUACCGAUGCGAAGACUUCGAUUAGGUUCCCUUGUUAGGAGUAUGGAGGGCAGUCGGGUAUGCUCCUCUGCUUGCAUUGCGAUAGUACAGAUCCAGACAGUUUACACCAGAAACAUACGGGUUAGCCCAGUGCGAGUUCAUGUUCACAGGGAACAAUUACAAAAAGAAGGUUCGCGAGAUAUCAAAUGCCUGGAACCAGACUCGUAGAAUGAAAAAAUUUGCUGCCAAUCCCGUGACUACUCCUGAGUACGACCGAUGGUGGAAUUAGAGGAUUAACGACAACAUUCCUACAUCAGAUCAAGGGCAUCAUCAGUCAAUAGAAGAACACUUGAAAGUAAUCCCGUCUGAGCUAGAAAUCAUCAGGCAAGAUUUCGAGAGAAAGUCUGGAGCUAGAAAAAAGGAUCGAGCAAUUGGAAGAAAAAAAGAUGCAGUUAGGGUUAGAUGUCGACGUCCAGAAACUAGAAGCUGAAAGACUCAGAAAAGGGGAAAACAAAGCUGAAAAGGACUUGGACAGUAUAAAAACGGACUAUAAGAAGCUGCGUAAAUCAAUGAGAACCGUUGGGUUAGGAAAAACAUCUGAACAGUGGCGACAUGAAGUUAAAGAAGAACAAAUCAAAGCCAACCAAUGGGAAGAAAAAUUUCGAGAUGCUCAAGCUCGAGAAGGUGCUCUGAAAAGAAGUUUGAUAGAAAGCCAGAAUGAGAAAGAAGGGUUAAAGAUCCGGGUAUCAGAGUUAGAGAGGUCAUUGUAUUAGUAUCGCUCGCAUAACUCUGCAAUCGAGUUGAAAGCUAGUCAGAACAGAAUCGAGGAAUUAAAAGAGAAUAUAGAAGAACUCAAAACGGCACUGCAAAAUCGUGAACUUCAGAUUGAACUUCUUGAAGUAAAUAACCAUCGAUGGAAGGAGCAACUUCAUCAAUCUCAAGACCAAGUCAGGAGCAGGGACUACGUCAUGGGCGAAGCUUUGACUAAGGUGCGAAAAGUGGCUGACUUGCAAACAUUAGCAGUACAAGCCGAUGUGCUGAGUUUAAAAUACGAGUCAGAAUCGGGUUGAGGCCGAGAGCUAGCUUGGAUUUUUAGACAACUCAAGGCCUUAAAUAUCAGGGCCAAGCCUUAUAUGUAAUCUAUUUUAUGUAAAGAAACUUGUUUCUAGAAAGUUACUCUAAUGAAAUCGAAUUGGAAUCAACGCUUUUUUGCGUUCAUCGCAUUCAUUGCAUUCAUGCAUCAGCAUUGCAUCACACGCACUAAAACUCACAAAAAACCCUAAAAAUCAUGGCAGUUACCCUAGAACAUCGUUACGGUACAAGAGGAAAAACAAGAGCAAUGGAUCAAAGGUUAGAGAGAUUGGAACAAAUGCAAAAAGAGAUGCAGGAUCAAUUACAAACACGUAUGCAAGAACAGCUUGCCAAAAUCCAGCAAGAUAUGAAGAACUAGAUGCUGGAGUCCCAGAAAAACAUGAUGGACCAAUUAACUCGUCUAUUGGCUGGUGGAUUAGAAAAAGGGAAAAGCCCUUUGAUCAAUGUGGGAGAAGAUAAUGAAGAUCCUACCUACCCUCCGGGUUUUGCCCCAGCGGACGUUCAGACACAACCUGACAUGUACCCAAGAAGGCCAUCGGUCACAAUUAGGCCCCAACCAUUUCAGGCAGGUGCUUCGGCACCGAUGAAUUAUCAGGCCUACUCGGGCUCUAAUCCAGGGGACAACCCAACCAACCCUGUGGUCCUCAAUCUCGAUGAAGUAACAGAAGCGGAAAAGACAAGGGUAAAAUUCCCGAGAGAGCUUGAAGAAAUGUGUAGAUGGUUGGAAGAAAAAUUUAAAGAAAUGGAAAGCACCGACUAUCGUGGUGGAAUCGAUGCUAAGGAAUUAAGUUUGGUUCCAGACCUGAUACUCUCUCUUAAGUUCAAAACUCUGGAAUUUGAGAAAUACAACGGGACUAGCUGUCCCGAAGCUCACAUCACUAUAUUCUGCAGACGAAUGGCAGGCCAUGUCAACAAUGACCAGCUAUUAAUUCACUAUUUCCAAGAAAGUCUGGUUGGGGUCGCUUCUAGAUGGUACAAUCAACUGAGUCGCGCCUAGAUCAGUUCAUGGAAAGAUUUAGCACAAGCCUUCAUGAAGUAGUACGGUCAUGUGGUAGACAUAGCCCCUGAUAGAAUCACUUUACAAAAUAUGGAGAAAAAGCAUAAUGAGAGCUUUAGGCAGUACGCCUAGCGAUGGAGAGAGGUGGCCACACAAGUUCAACCCCCUCUGUUGGAAAAAGAAACCACUAUGCUCUUCAUCAAUACCCUGAAGGUACCUUUUAUUAACCACAUGCUGGGUAGCACAACCAAGAGUUUUUCGGACAUAGUAAUGUCUGGAGAAAUGAUAGAAAAUGCCAUAAGAUGUGGGAAAAUAGAGGCUGGGGAAAACGCCAAGAGGUCAACACCGAGAAAGAAAGAGCACGAGGUGAAUAAUGUGAGCUCAUAUUCGAAAUCGAUCACCGUAAGCCAACCAAGGUCUACAACUGCUGGACAGCAGGGCCCACCCAGACAAGAGCCCAACACAAAACAAAAUAGGGAAAAAUUCCAAUUUACGCCCAUUCCAAUGAGGUACAAAGAGUUAUACCAAAGUUUAUUUGAUGCAUAUGUCGUGUCUCCCUUCUAUUUAAAGCCAAUACAACUUCCAUACCCCAAAUGGUAUGACGCAAAUACCCAAUACGAAUACCAUGCGGGAGCUACAGGACAUUCGAUAGAAAACUGCAUCACUUUCAAGAAAUUGGUUGAAAGACUCAUUAGCAUGGGGAUUGUGAAAUUUGAUGAUGCACCCAGUACAGAGAAUCCAUUACCUAACCAUGGGGAUAAGGGAAUAAAUGCAGUAACCAAGAGUUCGGGGAAAGAAAUUAAGACGAAUGUUGCCGAAGUGAAUACCCCGUUGAAAGAAGUAUGGAAGAAAAUGAUGGAAAGAGGGUUGAUAGCACAGGAUUCAAGGGUCAGAUCUCAAGAAGUAAAGAAUUAUUGCGAGUUCCAUGAUCAAAAGGAUCACAAGAUUCAGAAAUACAGUGAAUUCAGGGCUCUGUUAAAAGGAUUGAUGGAUAAUAAGGAGCUGGAAUUCUUCGAAUAUGUCGGGAGCCCAAAAGAAGCAGAUGUGUGUGCCUCCGAAGAGGGGUCGAUGAAGGAUGUUUACAAAGUCAACCACUCAGUGGUUAUCAUAUCACGUCUGAGAAUGAACGAAGUCGGAGCACAAGUUGCUCCAAAGGUCGUAAUCCAGAAGCCCGUUGCUUUCCCUUACAAGGAUAGCAAAAGGGUACCGUAGAACUAUAGCUGCAAUGUGACAUUCUUGGGAGAGGAGACCCCGAUUAAUGUAUCAGAAGAAGUUCAAGAUAAGGGUUUUUAUAUGCGCAGCGGAAGGCGUUAUACCCCAAAUACAAAAUUCGAACAGGUUAAAGAAAAAUCAUUAGCAAUUGAGCAAAAGAAAGAGAAGACGGGAGGGCCUGAACCAACUGUUAAUGAAUCAGUGAUUGAAAAAGAAGCCAAGGAAUUCUUAAAAUUUCUAAAGCACAGUGAAUAUAGUGUUGUAGAACAGUUGCACAAACAGCCAGCGUGUAUAUCAGUACUGGCCUUACUUUUAAGCUCCGAAACCCAUCGCAGCGCAUUGAUGAAGGUGCUGAAUGAAACUUAUGUUGCUAACGAUAUCUCUGUAAACAAACUGGACCGCUUAGUGAACAAUAUAAGUGCCGACAACUUCAUAUUCUUCAAUGAUGAUGAGGUACCACUAGGGGGCCGAGGAUCAACUAAAGCUUUGCACAUCACGACUCACUAUAAAGGGUACACGUUACCGGGGGUAUUGAUUGACAAUGGGUCUGCACCGAAUGUCCUACCCCUAUCUACGCUGAGUAGGUUGCCAGUAGAUAGUUUCCAUAUGAAGACAUGCCAAAAUGUAGUGAGAGCAUUUGAUGGCACGGAAAGGAAGGUGAUGGGAAGAAUUGAAAUACCCCUCUUAAUCUGGCCGAGCACGUACGAGGUAGAUUUCCUGGUCAUGGACAUUAAACCUUCGUAUAAUUGCCUAUUGGGGAGGCCAUGGAUACAAUCGAUAGGGGCAGUCCCUUUAUCGCUGCACCAAAAGUUGAAAUUAGUGACUGAAGGUCGGUUAGUAACGAUCAAUGCUGAAGAGGACAUCAUCGCGAUAAUAACCAGUGACGCCCCAUAUCUGGAGGCAAAUGAUGAAGUAAUCGAGUACUCUUUUAGAUCUUUGGAGUUUGUGAACACGACGUUCAUCACCAAAGGAAAUAAGAUUCCAAUGCCCAGGUUAUCUGAGACUACAAGAAUGGGACUACGGCUAACUAUUGGAAAAUGGGCUCUACCCGGAAGAGGACUCAGGAGAUACCUCCAGGGAAGGAUUAAUGUACCAAUGAUAAAGGACAAACAAGACCGUUUUGGGUUAGGGUUUAAGCCGGACAUGAAACAAAGAAAGAAGGAACAUGAGAAGAAGCGAGAAAGAAGGAGAGCACGAUUGAGUGGGGGAGAAAUCAAUUGGAACCAAUAAUCUUCCCCCAUAUAUCAAGACUUUUGUGUCUGGAGGGGUCAUUCACUCCGAGCGAAAGACGUCGGGAAAGGAAAUCGUAGAAGGAAUGAUGGAGAGUUUGUACAUCAACGCCACAUAUGAAGAAGGAACUGGCGUAGAGAACUCGUCGGGCAUUCGCUCCUAUGAGCCAGGAAGCAUUCUGAAUAAUUGGACUGUAGAAGAGAUUCCUGUAGUCUUUAGAACUAACUCAGAGUAAUGUCCAGAAUACACUUAUUGCUCUAGACCUAGGAGUAAUAAGUGUCCUUUUGUGAAAUAGGCUUACGUUCGAAAUUGUUAUUUCAAUGAAAUGCAUCCUUUUGACUUAUUCUGUGCACAUAUUUUUUUAUUCUUUCAUUCAUGAUCAUACCAUAAAUAUCAUUGUUCUUAGAUUCUCUUGUUCUUUGUAUAUUCCUUCGCACCACAACAGGUCUCCGGAUAUCAAUGAUGUGAGAGACGUUGCUACUAAUUCAGAGUCUUCUUUUGAGCGGGAUAUGUGUUUAGAGGGAUCUCAGGACCUUGAGGAUGACAGAGACUGUAACUUAUCCCCUGAUUUGUUAAGGAUGGUAGAAUACAAGAAGAAACAGAUUCUACCCCACAAAGAGACCGUAGAAGUCGUAAACUUGGGAGAUGAACUAGAAAAGAAAGAAGUAAAGAUCGGAGCUUGCAUUGCCACAGAGACAAAGCGGGACCUUAUUGAGUUACUCCAAGAGUUCAAGGAUGUCUUUGCAUGGUCAUAUUAAGAUAUGCUUGGGUUAAGUACUGACAUUGUGGUACACAGGCUCCCCAUCAAAGAAGAAUGCAAGCUAGUUAACAAAAGCUUCGAAGGAUGCGGCCCGAUGUUUUGUUAAAAAUAAAAGAGGAGGUCAAGAAGCAGUUUGAUGCUGGCUUCUUACAAGUAAUUAAGUACUCGGAAUGGGUAGCCAACAUCGUCCCUGUCUCUAAAAAAGAUGGAAAAGUACGGAUGUGUGUAGACUACAGAGACUUAAAUAAGGCCAGCCCGAAGGAUAAUUUCCCGUUGCCUCAUAUUGACACCUUAGUGGAUAACACGGUAGGUUACUCACUCUUCUCCUUCAUGGAUGGUUUCUUGGGAUACAAUCAGAUCAAGAUGCAUCCUGAAGACAUGAAUAAAACCACAUUUGUGACCAUGUGGGGAACCUUUUGCUAUAAGGUGAUGCCGUUCGGAUUGAAAAAUGCGGGAGUAAUAUAUCAGAGAGCCAUGGUAACCCUAUUCCAUGAUAUGAUGCAUAAAGAAAUUGAAGUCUACGUCAAUGACAUGAUCGCCAAAUCUCGGACUGAAGAAGAGCAUGUGCAAGUUUUGAAGAAAUUAUUUUUAAGGUUGAGGAAAUUCCAGUUGAAACUCAAUCCCGCAAAAUGUACCUUCGGGGCCAGGUCAGGAAAACUGCUAGGAUUCGUGGUCAGUGAAAAAGGGAUUGAGAUUGACCCAGAUAAAGUCAGAGCCAUACAAGAGUUACCCCUACCAGGUACUCAGAAAGAAGUUCGGGGAUUCCUAGGAAGAUUAAAUUACAUCGCUCGGUUUAUUUCACAACUAACCGAAAAAUGUGACCCCAUAUUCCGUCUCCUUAAGAAACACAACCCUGGUGGUUGGGAGGAGGAAUUCCAGAAGACUUUCGACAAAGUUAAGCAAUAUUUGUCUAAUACUCCAGUGUUGACACCACCUAGUCCAGAUAAGCCAUUGAUACUGUAUUUGACGGUAUUUGAAAAUUCUAUGGGAUGCGUGCUUGGCCAACACGAUGAAUCGAGAAGGAAAGAAAGAGCGAUAUAUUACCUCAGUAAAAAGUUUACUGAGUGUGAGACGAGAUACUCGUUCAUUGAAAAGUUGUGCUGUGCCUUAAUCUGGACAACCCGAAGAUUGAGACAAUACAUGUUGUACCAUACAACUUGGCUGAUCUCUAAAAUGGAUCAUCUGAAAUACUUGAUGGAGUCGACUGCUUUGAAUGGGAGAAUGGCCCGAUGGUAAAUUCUACUUUCUGAGUUCGAUAUAAUCUAUGUGAACCAAAAGGUCGUAAAAGGGAGUGCGAUAGCAGAUUUCCUAGCCAGCAGAGUCCUAGAGGACUACGAGCCUCUGAACCUUGACUUCCCAAAUAAAGAUCUAAUGUGAAUAACAACCACUGAAGAAGACCCUCAAGAAGGUCAUCCUUGGAAGCUAAACUUUGACGGAGCAUCAAAUGCUGUGGGUAACGGAAUCGGGGCAGUUCUGGUGUCCCCGAACGGAGAGCAUUAUCCCUUUACUAGUAAAUUGGAUUUCGACUGUACAAACAACAUGGCAGAAUACGAAACAUGCAUUAUGGGAAUACGCGCGGCCAUAGAGCGUAAAAUCAAGGUGUUAGAAGUGUAUGGAGAUUCUGCCCUAGUGAUUUAUCAACUCAAAGGUGAAUGGGAGACGAGAGAUCCCAAGUUGAUCAAUUACCCAAGUCUGUAGUCCUUGAAUUAAUCAAAAAAUUUGAUGAUAUCGUCUUCUGCUAUCUCCCUUGAGAAGAAAAUCAGAUAGCCGAUGCCCUAGCAACUUUAGCCUCUAUGAUCAAGGUGAACAAACAAGAGGAUGUGAAACCGAUCCAAAUGAGUAUCUAUGAGGCUCCAGCUCAUUGUUACAACCUCGAAGAAGAAGAGGAGAAUGAUGAUCACCCUUGGUACCACGAUAUCCUACGAUACGUGAGGAAUCGAGAGUACCCCGACCAAGCUACUGAGAACGACAAGAGAACGUUGAGAAGACUGGCCAGUGACUAUGUCUUAGACGGGGAGAUCCUAUACAAAAGAAGAAAGGAUCAGGUACUGUUAAGAUGUGUAGACGCCGUUGAGGCUAAGAAAAUCUUGGAAUAAGUCCAUGAGGGCAUUUGCGGGACACAUGCUAAUGGCUUUACAAUGGCUAGGCAAAUUAUGAGGUUUGGUUAUUAUUGGUCCACCAUGGAAGGAGACUGUAUUAACUAUGCCAAAAGAUGUUAUAAAUGCCAAAUCUAUGGGGACAAGAUUAAUAUGCCUCAUUCACCUCUGCAUGUCAUGACUUCUCCAUGGCCUUUCUCGAUGUGGGGCAUGGAUGUGAUUGGGCCAAUUUCGCCCAAAGCUUCAAAUGGGCAUCGAUUCAUUUUUGUGGUCAUUGACUAUUUCACCAAAUGGGUGGAGGCCACUUCAUUUGCUAAUGUAACUAAAUCGGCAAUUAGCAAGUUCCUAAAAAAGGAAAUCAUCUGUUGAUAUGGAAUGCCAGAAAGAAUCAUAUCUGACAACGCAUUGAAUUUGAACAACAGUACGAUAACGGAUGUCUGCAGGCAGUUCAAGAUUAGACACCACAACUCGUCACCGUAUCGCCUAAAGAUGAACGGUGCGGUCGAAGCAACCAAUAAGAACAUCAAGAAGAUUGUGGGGAAAAUAACUGAGACUUAUAAAGACUGGCAUGAGAAAUUGCCAUUCACCCUCUACGCCUAUCGAACGUCUGUCAGAACUUCCACCGGGGCAAUGCCCUUCUUAUUGAUCUAUGGAAUGGAGGCAGUUUUACCUAUCGAGGUCGAGAUCCCUUCCCUCAAAGUUUUUUCAGAGGUAAAGUUGGAUGAAGCAGAAUGGAUCCAGUCCCAAUAUGACUAGUUGAAUUUGAUUAAAGAAAAGAGGAUAAGGGCUAUUCGCCAUGGUCAUAUGUACCAAAAGCGAAUGAUGCGAGCUUACAACAAAAAGGUUCACCCUAGAGAAUUACACGAGGGAGACCUAGUAUUAAAAAAGAUCCUGCCCAUACAAAAGGAUUUUAGAGGAAAAUGGAUGCCGAAUUGGGAAGGACCUUAUGUGGUGAAGAAAGCCUUUUCUGGCGGAGCAUUGAUAUUGGCUGAAAUGGAUGGCAAGAUUUUACUCAAUCCUGUGAAUUCAGAUUCGGUUAAGAAAUACUUCGCCCAAAAAAAAAAAGGGAGAGGCCAGGGUGAAAACUCGCAAAGAGCACCUUGAGACCAAAGGGAUUUUGAAUUGAAAACCCGUAAAGUGCGAUUCAAAUUUUGAUCAAAGGUGGGGCAUGCGAUGGUCUUAUGAUACCUAAAUUGACAAGGAGGAGAGAUGUUACAUUUUGGGACAUCUGUAAGAGUACUCUAGAUCCCCUAAACACAUAUUAGGCAAAAAAGAGUCUUCAAGAAGUCAGUACAGAGAAGCUCACACUGCGAUAUCUAGGGCGCCUAUUCCCUUUUAUUCAUUUUGUAUUCCAGCAAUGUUUGUUGACUGUGAUUAAUCUAUUCCCUUCAAAUCUUGUUUCUGAUGAAUUUCAGUUUGUCAUUGUUAUAAUCUUUCGCAAGCAUUUUGCAUUGAAAUGAUAAUUAAUGGACUAAAGCCAUUUUCAUAAAAAAGAGUUCUGUAUAUUACUCUGAAAGUUUCUAAAUAGUACAGGAACAUAAAACAGGACUAUUAUUUAGAAAUAACCAAACUCAAAGAUUGGAAGCAUAUGAGAAGAAAGAGUUUAAACUGGGACCACCUCUUCGGGUUUUCUGUUCAAAAUUUGAGCUGAAUAAGAAGACAGAGUACCAUUUCAGUGAAAGAACCUUGAUGAACAAAGAGCAAUGGCAACAAAAAGGGAUGCACGCUCACAACAUGUUGCACCCAUACAUUCAUAGAUCAUUCAUAAUGCAUCUAAUUAGGAGCAUUUGAUUCAUUUUGAUCAUAGCAUCCUAAAUUUUUGGCAUAAGCAUAAAUACAUGAAACUGAUUCUACAGGUCAUGUUCUUAGAAUCAAUAAAUUUACCAAACUUUAAAUCCCUAAGCAGUAGGGUAACACGCUGAAGAUUUACGGAUCUUAUCACCCUAAGCAGUAGGGAAACAGAUCGAAGAUGAUGAGCUUUAACCCCCUAAGUAGUAAGGUAACAAGCCAAAUUUACAGACCUUAACCCCCUAAGCAGUAGGGUAAUAGGUUGAAAAUUACAGAUCUUGUCCCCCUGAAAUUGCAGUGGAACAGAUCAAAUCCAGCGAAUCUUGUCUUCCUGAAGUUGCAAUGAAGCAGGCUGAAUUUGCAGAUCUUAACCCCCUAAGCAGUAGGGAAACAGAUCGAAGAUGACGAGCUUUAACCCCCUAAGUAGUAGGGUAACAAGCCAAAUUUACAGACCUUAACCCCCUAAGCAGUAGGGUAAUAGGCUGAAUUUACAAAUAUUAACCCCUUAAGUAGUAGGGAAACAGAUCGAAGAUGAUGGGCUUAACCCCCUAAGCAGUAGAGUAGCAAGCCAAAUUUACAGACCUUAAACCCCUAAGCAGUAGGGUAACAGGUUGAAUUCACUGAUCUAAACCCCUAAGCGAUAGGGAAAUAGAUCGAUGAUGACAAGCCUUAAACCCCUAAGCAGUAAGGGUAAUAGGUUGAAAAUCAAAUGUCUUCUCCCUGAAGCAGCACUGGAGUUGACCCAAGCCACAACAGAUCUUCUUGAAGUUUCAGUAGAGUUAGUUGAAGUCACAGGUCUUAUCUCCCUAAAGUUGUAGCGGAGCAGACUAAAGAUAGCAAAUCUUACUUCCUUGAAGACGCAGUGGAACGGAGUGGAGCUAAAUGAACAGAUCUUAUCUGAAGUUGCAGCGGAGCACAUUGAGGAUACCUGGAGAAAAGGAGCGCUAAACAAGUCCAGACAUGGUGAGAUCGGGCAAAAUUGGUCAUUCUUAAGUCUUUGCUCUAUUCUCGUUACACGACAACAAGCAAAGAGGGGCAGCUGUACAAACCCAAUUUUGGGCCCAAAACCCCUAAACCCACUAAGCCAAUAACCCCAAAACCUACUAAACCUAAAACCUAACAGCAGCCCAAUUCAAACCCUAAAACGAAAAGAACAACAAACCCUAGCUGCUGCCUCUCUGUCCCAUCACCACUUGCAUGGCCACCGUCUUUGCUGCAGCACCGCCCCAUCAAGUCCACCGCCACAAGCACCUGCAAUGUAUUAAACAAGAAUAGACAGAAAGUAAGAAAGAGGGCAGUGUAAACAAAUAUAUAAGCAAGAAUAAACAAUGUAAAAAUAGCCUUUUUUUUUUGCUUUCUGAUUUUCAUUUUAUUCUCAUAAUGCAAAAACAAUAUUAACAUCAAAAACAUACUCAAACACAAAAACUCAAAACCGAAGCAAAACAGAUCGAGGGCCGAAUCCAAGGUUAUCGACUUUUCUUUUUCUUUUUCUUAUUUUCUUUUCGAAUUUAUUUGUAUAUAUAGUAUCCCUUCUAUUAAAACAAUACACACAUAUAUUAAACGAAUAAAUAUAAUAAAAAAGGGGGAAAAAUCUUUACCUCGAGGCGAUUUUUGGCCACCGUGUACGGUGGCUGGCACGGCAGACGACACGACAGCGGACGGCCGGCUCCUCGCCGGUUUCUGGGCAAACCCAGAGAAAAAAGAAAGAUGAAGUUUUUUUUAAAACAGAAUAGAGAAAUGAAUUUUUUUAAAAAAAACUGACUUAUAUAGGGCCUGCAAACGGCGCCGUUUCAUCAAGCCCCUAAAGCGCCCAAAAUAGCAUCGUUUUGGGGGCUGAUCCACGACCCGACCCGUCCACCCAAAAGAUCCGCGUGUUUUUGCAAGCAUGGUCUAAUUACUUGUGCAGUCCUUCCGAUUUUUACAUGUUUUUCAAUCAAGUUUUUAAUUCUUUUAAAUUAGCCCCGAGGUUUAUCACAUUUUGCAAGUUGGUCCUCCCUUCAGCAACACCGUUUCAAGGGCUCGGGUAAAUUGCCCUUUUGGACCUCGUAUGUUAUUUGCGCUUUCAAAUUAGUCCCUUCUCUUUAUUGUCUUUUUAAAUCGGCCCCAAAACUUAAUAUUUGUUUCAAAUUUAGUCGAUUUCUCCUAUUUGAUACACUUUCUAUAUUAUUUUUACUCUUUAUUAUUUUAAUAUUAUUCAUUAUUCUAUUGUACCAUUCUUGUAUUAUUAUUUUUAGCUUAUUUUAUUAUUAUUUAGUCCCUUUUAAAUUAAUACUAUAUAUAUACAUAUUAUAUAUAUUCUUAUAGUUGUUUUAUAUAUUAUUAUUGUUCCUAAUAUAUGUUUUAUGUAUACAUAUUCAAAUAUUCUAUUAUGUACAUUUUGUUAUAUCUAUUAUAGUUGUUUUAUUAUUAUUUAGCUUAUUGUUUUGUUAAUACAUUUGUGUCAUAUAUACCUACUUUUAAUAUAUAUUUAUAUAUUAUACUUCAUAUUAUGCCCAUGUAAAUUAAUAUUAUAUUGUGUAUAUCAUUUUAUUAUAGUUUUAUAUAUUGUAAAUAUCAUAUUAUGUUUUACCAUGUAUAUACAUUUUAAUAUCUCAUAUAUUAUAUAUAUAUGUAUAUUAUGUAUAUUUUCCUUUUUUAAUACUACGUAUAUAUUUUAUUUCUAUUAUUACAUAUAUAUCUCAAUGCGUCUAUGUAUAUAUCUGUGCAUUGUUUUAUAUUAUUAUUAUUUAUGUUAUCCCUAUUAUCAUCGUCUAUGUUAUCAUCGCCAUUUUUAUUUUGCCAUGUUUUAUUCAUUUUCAUUUAUUUACUCAUGUAUUCGAUCGUUUUAUUUUCCUCAUGCAUUUAUUUAUAUUUACAUGUUACUAACAUUUCUAUUUAUUCAUCACUUAUAACUGCUCUUGUUAUUAUUUUUUUGACACUAUCACACCUAUCAUUAUGUUAUUAUACAUAUUAAUACCCUAAUUUGUUUUAUAUUUUACUAUAAAUCACGUUUUUACUUAAUAUGUUAAAAACGAUUCUUUCAUAAAAGUAAUAUCUCGUAUUAGGUAAUUCGAGAUAAUCGUACCCUAACUUACUGGAUUUCGACUUUUCUCAUUUAACCUAAAUAACAGAAUAUAUUCUUUUUAAAUCACUAUACGAGUUUUGAAAAAUGCUUAUUCUCGAAGAUGCGAAGUGUUGUGCCCUAACUUACCGGGUAUGACAUUUUGUCAUCUCGAAAUAAGAGUUUGUUUUGAAAUAAAGGCAAUAUUCGAUGUUUGAGAAUUCGAGAAAACGUGCCUUAACUUAUUGGGUUUCGAUCUCUCUCGUUUACUCUAAAUAAUCGAAUACCCUUUUAAUAAAAUACACAGAUUUUAUAAAAGGCAAGCUCGCUCUCGAAAAUUCAAGAUGUUGUGUCCUAACUCACUGGAUGUGACAUUUUAUAUUUUGAGUUGAGAAGGUCUUUAAUAUUUAAGCAUUCAUACAAAGAGGGAUUGUGUUUUAAAUUCUUUCAAGUUUUCGAAUCUUCGACACUAAGACACUAAUUAAUCGACUAGGUACCAAUUUUGGGCGUAUCGAGGGUGCUAAUCCUUCCUCGUGCGUAACCGACUCCCGAACUCAUUUUUUGAUUUUCGUAGACCAAAACUUAUCGUUUUGAUAAAUCUUAACUUUUAUUAAAAUGACUAAUUUAAGGUGAUCCGAUCACACCUCAUCAAAAAAGGAUUGGUGGCGACUCCCAUUUUUUUUUCGUUUUCAUUUUCAAAAUCUAAGUCAUUCCUGUUUUUCAAAAAACGGUUACGACAAUGUUCAUGAAAUUAAUCAAAAUCUAUUAAGUAUGGGUCAACUGAUCGAAAAAGGCUUCAAAGUGAUUUUCAAAGACAAACACUAUAGGAUCAAAAGUCCAGCUUGUUAGGAGAUGUUCAGAGUCAUGAUGAGAGGCAAAAACUUUUCUUUGGACCCGAUGGAGAAUAAGCAGGUCAAUAUGGUAAGCAAACCAGGUUGCCAUUUCCUAAGACUACUUAGAGAGCAAGCCAGAAGCUAUAGCUAGUUCCUACAGGUUUGUCUGUGCCUUAAAGAACACCUGCCCUCAAAAGUAGCCUUUAUUACAUUGCAUUAAUUGAUGAUUUAACUAGAAUGUGUUGGAUUUUCAUUUUGAAGUUCAAGUCAGAAGUAGUUGCAAGAUUCUAAAGUUUAAGGCAUUAGAUAAUGGAAAGGAUUAUACUUCAGAACAUUUUAAUCUAUUUUGUGAGAAGGUUGCUAUUGAACACUUACUACCUCCCACUCCACAGCAAAAUGGAGUCGAUGAAAGAAAGAAUAGAUCCAUCUUGGAGAUGACCAUGUGCAUGUUGCCUAAAAAAGAAUUAUCAAGGAAAUUUUUGGGCUGAGGCUGGAAACACUAUUAUAUUUCUUCAAAAUAGGCUUUCCACUAGAGAAGUGAAUGAUUAGACUCCAUUCAAGGCUUAGUAUAAGUAUAAACCUUCUUUGAAAUUUCUUAAAAGUAUUUGGAUGUUUGUAAUUUACCUAUGUGCCUCAAGUUAAGCAAGACAAAUUAGAUAAAAAGGGUAUUCCAAGCAUUUUGUAGAUUUUAGCACAAUUUGCUUUUUAUCCUUAAACAAGAAACCUUUUUAAUAAGCAGAGAUAUGCAUUUUAUGAAGAAUGAGUAGUAGAGCUGGAAAGAUUCAAAUGGUGUCCAAAAUAUAAGUACUUGGCCAAAUUCUAUUGAACUAAUGGAUGAACCUCUUGUCAAAGGUACAUGGUUGCUUUCUAAUUUCUAUCAAAAGUGCAAUGUUGCUGUAUGUGAACUUACAGAGUUUGAUGAGGUAGAAAAGGAUAAAAAAUGGAUAGCUGCAAUGUAAGAGCUAUCCUUGAUUGAAAAAAAUAUUACUUUAGAGUUAAUUGGUAGACCACAGGAUAGAAAAGUGAUUGAGAGUAAAAUAGGUGUUUAGAACUAAGUUGAAUGUUGAUGGCUCUCUCAUUAAGCACAAAGCUAUGUUCGUAAUUGUCACGUCUCAAAUCGAGGCAUAACAUACGUAACACAUCUAUGAGAUAAAAUCUCACAAACAUGCAAUAUUAGCUGUAACACCCCUAAUCCGUAUCCGCUGCCAGAAUAGGGUUUCAGAGCAUUACUACCAUUUACAGAUCACUAAAAAAAAUUUUAAAUACUUACCGAUUCAAUGCAUCAUAUAAAUAAAUAUAUUACCAUUCAAUCAACAGUUUGACACUUGUAUAAGCAUCAAACAGCAACAUUGUUAGUAUACUUGCACAUAUCUCAUAUAAAUUCAACAUUGAUAUAUCUAUUUUCUCGACAUAUCGCACUUGAGUUUAAUAAUAGUCUCAACUUACAUAAUUUCCUUGUAUCAACAUAUCAAAGAUAAUCAUAUAUGUACAUGUCAUGAAACAUAUCAUGCUCUUACCGUUUCUUCAUAAGCAUAUAUCAUUCAUUUCAUUAUAUCAAUAUUUCAUGCUCCAUCAUUUCCAUAUAUUUUAUGUAUAUUUAUUCCAGUAAUAGCUUAUAUCAAACUUAACAUAAAUUAUAUUCCAUGUACUUAUACUUAUUUCGUUUAUCUAUCUUGAUAAUUAUUUCAUAUAACCAUUCGUCAUCUGAUACAUAUUACCUGAAUAUCAAUUGUUCAACAGAUGUUAGAGCGUCUCCCAUCCACGGUCUUAUUUAUCUUUGACAUGAUGCCAUAGUGUCUUUCAACUAUGGUCUUACUCAUUUUCUGUCAUGUUGCCAUGGUAUCUUUCAACCAUGGUCUUGUUCAUUUCAUAUCACGUUGCCAUGGUAUCUUUCAACCAUGGUCUUACACAUUUCAUAUCAGAGAGCACACUCCCGCGAACCUCAUCCUUACAGUGGGAUUACCAGUCCAGGCUAAAUCCCCUGUAAUAUAAACUCAUAGAGUAUUGUCGGGAUUACCAGUCCAGGCUAAAUCCCUUGCAACGACAAUUACUCUAAUGAGCUUGGAUCUGAAUUACCAGUCCAGGCUCAAUUCAGACCCUAAUUCGGAUUACCCUUCCGGGCUAAAUCCAUUUUACACAUAUUCUUCGGAAGGGCUAUAUCAGGAUAGGAUCACCCGUCCGGGCUAAAUCCUUUUUACCGUCAAUUCCUUUUCAGAGAUCCAUCGAAUUUUCCUUUCAUUCAAACGGGAUUUCUUCCCAUUUUAUCAAAUAUAUCAAUGUUUCAUAAAUUUCCAUCUAAUGAACAUUCAAAUCAUAUUCAUAUCAAAAACAUGCAUUUCAAGCAUUUAAGAAUAUAAUUCAAGUUACACGAACUUACCUCAUUGCUUGUUUGUGUUUAUAAUUUCAUUAAUCCGAUAUCUUUUCUUUUCCACGAUCAAGUCUCAUAUUUGAGUCGUCCAGAUCUUUAUAAAUAAAUUUGAUCAUCAUUUUCAUUCAUUUCAUCUUCUAAUGCAUUUAAUUAAUGCUCUAGGCAAAAUUACCAUUUUGCCCCUAAACUUUUAAUUAAUGACGAUUUCAUCCUUAGGGUCAGGAAAAUAAAAUUCUUGCAAUUUAAUCCUUAUUUCCAGCUAUUAUUCUCAUAUAUAUUGAUAACAGUCCAUGAAUUCUAUAAAAUAUCAGAAUUUUCCAUAAUUUCAACACUUUUCAAUUUAAUCCCUAAAACAUGUUUUCCCCCGAUCUUGAACUAAAUUAAUAAUUUCAUUCAAUUUUGUAAUUUAAAUAAUAAAAUAAUCCAUUUCAUGCAAUUUGGUCAUUUCAGACAUUUUUACAAAAUUACCCAUAAAGUUUUACUUUUAUUCAAUUUAGUCCCUAAGCCUAAAAUAUGCAAAUUAGCCAUGCUUAAUGAAUAUUCAUAUAUGUUUUCCUCCUCCUCCUCUCCAUUCCACAUCCUUGAUGUAUGUAGCACACUUGUAAGUAACAUUAUCUAUAAUCUUUCUUAUUUACUUUUAUAAAUAUUCAAGUUGUCCAUCUGUGUCAUAGUCACUAAAUUAUUUAUAUCUAGAGCUAUAGAACUCCAAAUUGAUAUCCGCUAAUUUUCCCUGAAACUAGACUCAUAUAUAUUUUUACCAUAAAAUUUUCAGAAUUUUUGGUUUAGUCAAUAAGUAAAGUUUAUUCUUUAAAGUUACCCCUAUUCUGCUAUCUGACAGUUGUGACCCUUCUUCACUAAAAAUUAACUAUCUCCUUGUAAAGAAUUUGAAUGAUGUUCAUAUUUGUUUAUAUUGAAAAUAGACUCAUUCAGAAUUCUAAACAUAUAAACUUAAGCCCCUAAUUAUUUUUAUCCAAUUUUUUUUAUGAUUUUACAAAUUCAGAAUAGGGGAACCCAAAAUCAUUCUGACCUUAUCUCACAAAAUUCAUCAUAUCUCAUGAUUUAGAAUUCCAUUGCUUACAUAAUUUCUUCUAUAAGAAACUAGACUUAAUAAGCUUUAAUUUAAUAUUUUAUUCAUCCUAUAAUUAUAUUUCUACAAUUUUUUAUGAUUUUUCAAAAUUAGACUACUGCUACUGUCCAAAACUGUUUUAGUACAAGAUAUUAAUUACCAUGUUAUAACAUCCUUAUUUUCUUUUUUUACACCAUUUCUCAUCACUUUCUCUUUUUUUUUUCUUCACUAACAUAUCAAGAACAUAGGACCUUAUGAAGAAAACUCUACUAUAACAUUAUUUCCAUGCUUUAUCAAUAAUAACAAACUUAAAAACAUAUUGAAAUCUUGAUGUACUUACCUUUCCUUAUUGACUUCAAUCUUUAACUUGAUUUUUCUCUCUCCUCCAGCUUCGAUUUCUUGAAUCCAACUUGAUAUUAUUGCUCCCCAUCAUCUCUUUGCUAUCUUUCUCUCUUGAUGGCUAUGGAAAUUCUUUCAAUUUUUAGGUGAAAAUAAUGAAUUUUUGGUGGAAGGACUAAAUUGUAAAGAAAGCAAACUUCUUUUCUUCUUCUUAUCUUACGUUUGUUUGCAUGGGAAAGGAAAUGUGUUGUUAAUUCUUCAUCUUUCCUUCCUUUUAUACUAAAUAAAUAAUAAUAUAAUAAUAAUAAACAUCUCAUAAAAUAUUAAUAAAAUAAUAUUUAUCUAAUUAAUUAAUUUAAAAUAUCAUCAACAUAAUCAUUACAUUCUAGAAUUCUCUCUCUUACUAAUUGACCAUUUUGCCCUUCAUGAUCUUUUAGAAUUUCAUCCUUGAGUCAUCACUUAAUUUGGUAAAAUUACGAUUUAGUCCCUCAUUAUUUUUUUACCUAUUCAAUUUGGUCCUAAUUCAUCAAUUUUUCUUGGUUUCUAUAUCAUUCCACCCUUAAAAUAUUUGCACCAUUAGUCCUUCAACUUUUUAUAUUUACACUUCAACCCCUUAAAUUUUGAGUAUUUACUCUUGUGCAACAAGACUUUUCUCAUCUUUGCAAUUUAGUCCUUUCUUGAAUUAAUAUAUCAUAAUAUACUUCUCAAUAUUGACAUCGCUCAAAAAUUCCCUUUUUGUCACUUUAUUUCCUUAUUUUACUAUAUCACGGAUAAUAUUUUACUGUAAAAAUUUUCGGGGUAUUACAUUAGCACUAAGUAACAAAGUUGGAAUAAGCCAAAACAUUUAACAUAAAAAUCAUAGUUAUAAUUUCAUAAAACAAUUAUAAAUUUUUAUUUUGAAAAUAAGCUUCGAAAUAUGUAGGAAAUUAAGAAACCUUAAAAUACAACUUAAACUUUUAAUCGUAUAGUAGUAUUGAAAAUCUACAACUUUGAAAUGUCUUGAAAAUUCUAAAGAGAUGCAAUAAUAUCUUUAAUUAUCACACUUUAAAAUCUGAAUCUAUAAAAAUAUUAAAAAAGAGAGUAAGUACUACUCAGUAACUAGCAUUCCUUUUAGUUGAGUUAAGCAAGUACGAAAACAUUUAGGCUAAAUAUUUUAUUGAAAAUACGUAAUUGAAAAAUUUAUGGGUAAUCCAUGAUAACAUAAUUCCAAACAUAUUUCAUGUAAAAGAAAUAAUUAAGACAAAUUAAUAAUUUCUAAAUUCACCUUUUUGUCACUAUGGUACCCUUAACCUCGGUUACAAGGGUAAAAACCACAAUUAAGUUAGUGGCAAUGGGUUGAAACAAAAAUUAAUUCACCCCAAUAACAAUGUAUUCUGAAAUUAGUAUCACGAUUGAAACUAGUUUUUAAGCACAAAACACAUUUUGCCAUAACCAAUGUCUAACCCCAUUGGCAGGGUUGGAAUAUGGCAUUUUAGGAGCAAAUUCAAAGUCAAAAAAUUAGAUUACUUGUAAUGUCUCAAAUAUACAUAAAACAUAUACUUCAUAUAUAAAGGCAUAAUUCAAUAUUAUACUUUUUGAAAACAUUUUUUUUAUAUAUAUACCAAAAUAUAACUUGAGUAGCAUAAGUAUGCCGAAACCACAAUAAUCAUAAUAGCUUGCUUUACCCAAUUUUUAUAAUAACAUGGACAAAAAUAUUAUAUAUUACAUAUAUAACAUAAAAUAUUGAGGACCGAUUUUGGGGGAAUUAAACACUAAAAGUGUAGGGCCCAAAAUUUGCCCUGCCCAAACUACUAGAAACCAAAAUCCAACAAAAACAGACUCAAACUUGAUUGAGGAAAAAAGGCUAUCCGUCAAAAAAGGCUAUCAUGUACAUUAAACUUGAUUGAGGAAAAAAGGCUGAAGGCUAUCCGUCAUAGUCAAAUGUACCAGAAGCGAAUGAUGCAAGCUUAAAACAAAAAAGUUCACCCAAGAGUAUUCCAGGAAGGGGACUUGGUUCUGAAAAAGAUGCUCUCUAUGCAAAAAGAUUUCAGAGGAAAAUGGAUGCCAAACUAGGAGGGACCUUAUGUAGUGAAAAAGGAUUUUUCUAGAGGGGCACUGAUACUAGCGGAAAUGGAUGGUAAAAGCUUUCUUAACCCGAUAAAUUUAGAUUCGGUCAGGAAAUACUUCACCUGAAGCCAAGGCAAAAAGCCGCAAAUGGCGUUUUGAGACCAAAGGGGUUUUUAAGUUGAAAACCCGAAAAAGGAAAACUCAAAUUGUGAUCAAAGAUGGGGCAUGUUGCAACCUUGUUUCUACCAGAAUUAACAAGAAGGGGAAACAUUACAUUUUGGGGCAUCACUGAAAUACUUCUGACUUCCUAGACACAUAUCUGUCUCCCAAUAGUUUUCGAACAGUCUGAAUAGAGAAGCUCACGCUGCGAUAUCUGGGGCACCUAUUUUCCAUCUUAUACAUCUUUUGUACCUUAGUAAAAUCUGUUAUCUUGAUUAAUUUUCUACUUCGAGCUUCGCUCUAAAUAAAGUUUCAUCUUAUCCAUUCUGAUAGUCUUUGUCAAGCAUUUCCUAUUGAAAUAUUGAUUAAUGGACUAAUAACACUUUCACAAAAUGAGUUCUGCAUAUUACUCUAGAAGCUUUUAAGUAGUGCAAGAACCCGAAGCAGGUCAAUUAUUCAGAACCUACCGAGCUUAAGGGUUAGAGUUACGUGAGAAGUAAAAAGUUUAAGUUAAGGUUAUUGCUUCAGAUGUUUGUUAAAGAAAUCAGUUGAACUAGAAUAAAUACGUCAAUGACAAAUAGUGAGCAAUAACAGCCUAAACAUUAAAGGGCAUUCUCAUGACAAUUUGUAUCCAUACAAAUGUCAUUCAUGAUACAUCUAGUUAGGAGCAUUUGAUUCAUUUUUUAUCAUAGCAUCCUAGUUAUUUGUCAUAAGCAUUACAUUCUAGUUAGGAACAUUUGAUUCAUUUUGAUUAUAGCAUUCUAAGUAUUUGGCAUAAGCAUAGGAAAUCAAUUUUACAGAUCAUGUCCCUCAGAGGACAGGGGCAUCGGUCAAGACAGCGAGCCUUAACCCCCUAAGCAGUGGGGUAAUAGGCAGGAAAAUACAGACCUCCCCUAAACAGUAGUAGAGAAAAUCGAAGAUAGCAAGCCUUAACUCUCUAAGCAGUAGGGUAACCGGUUAGAAAAUACAGAUCUCCCCUAAACAGUAGUGGAGCAGAUCGAAGUCAGCAAGCCUUAACUCCUUAAGCGGUACGGUAACAGGCUAAAAAAAAUUACAGAUCUCCCCUAAACAGUAGUGGAACAGAUCGAAGUCAGCAAGCCUUAACCCCUUAAGCAGUAGGGUAACAGGCUAAAAAAAAUACAGAUCUCCCCUAAACAGUAAUGGAACAGAUCGAAGUCAGCAAGCCUUAACCCUUUAAGCAAUAGGGUUGUAACGACCCGGAUUUUACCGUUACCGAAAAAGUGUAUUUUCGGGUCACCGUUUCUGAAAAACAGAUUCGUAAAUAUUUAUUAAAAAUAUUUACGAAGUAAAAUGAGUAGUUAAUUAGAGUUUAAUUAAGUGAAUUUAAUUUAAUUAAGAGUAAUUAAGAAAAAGGACUAAAUUAAAUAAAGGAUGAAAGUUAAAUUGUAGAUUAAAAGAAAAUGAAGAGGACCAAAAUGGCAAUUAUGCCAUUUGUCCUAAGUGAGGCGGCAUAAACAUAAAAAUCUGAGAUUUUUAUGUGUUAAAAUAUAUAUUAAAAUUAUUAUUAUUAAAAGUAACGUAAAUAAAAAGGAAUAAAGGAAAGAAACAAAAGAAUAAAAAAGAAGGAAGGAACAGAAUAGCAGGAAACGAAACAGAGAAGAAUAGGGGAGAAAGAAAGAAAGAAAAGAAAAAGGGAAAAUAGGGUUUUAAAGGUUCCAAGUUAAUUUGGUAAGUCAAUUUAGCCCCUUUUCUUAUGAUUUUUGAGUUUUUUGGAAUCCUAGAGAUAAAUAGUACUUGUUUUAAGUAGAAAUUUUGAAAGUCAUUAGAUUUCUAAAUUUGGUCAUGUUGAAUAAAAUGAUGGAAUUGGGGGUUUAUUUGAUAGAACUUUCGACUGGAAUUGAAUAAAGGAUUGAAUCGUAAACUAAGCUAUAAGUUUUGAGUUUUAGGGAUUAAAUGGAAAUAAAUUCGAAAUUAUGAAAAUAUGCUGGAAAUUUAAUAGUUAAGUAUGAGUUUGGACAAAAUUUGAAUAGAAAUAAAGUAUGAAUUAAGAUAGAAAAGUAAGUGAAUUUAGUUAGGAUUAAAUUGAAAUUAAAGUAAAUCAACAUUUUGUACUAAGACUAUUUUGGACAGCAGCAGUAGUCUAAGUUUGAAAAAUCACUAAAAAUUGUAGAAAUUGAGUCUAGUUUCUUAUAGAAGAAAUGAUAUAAGCAAUUGAAUUGUAAAUUAUGAGAUAUAAUAAAUUUUGUGAGACAAGGUCAGAAUGAAUUCGGGUUCCCCUGUUCUGACUUUGGAAAAUCACCAGAAAUUGAAGAAAAAUAAUUAGAGGCUUAAAGUUAUAUGUUUAGAAUCCCUAAUGAGUCUAUUUUCAGGAGAAAUCAACGGGAAUAUUAUCCGAGUUCUGUAAUGUGAGAUAAUUAAUUUUUAGUGAAGAAGGGACGAAACUGUCAGACAGCAGAAUAGGGGUGAAUUUAAAGAAUAAACUGUACUUAAUGGCUAAACCAAAAAUUCUGAAAAUUUUAUUGUAAAAAGAUUUGUGAGUCUAGUUUCAGGAAAAAUUAGCGGAUCUUAAUUUAGAAUUCUGUAACUCAAGAUAUGAAUUAGUAAUGUAUUAAUGAUUAUGAAUUGUAUUAAUUUCGUAGUUAGUGUGGUACCGGAAAUCUCGGCUAAGAAAGGACAAGACAAAGUCAACGGGAGUUAGCUCAAAAAUUACGGUUUGUAUUUCUAUAAUCCGAACUUAGUUAUUAUUUGUUAUAUUUAUAUACAUAUGACAAUCGUUAGUGUUAGAAUUAUGAUGUUUUACAAUUGGAAUGGAUUGAUUUUGGUAUGCGAUGAAUUUAUUGAAUUUAUAUUGAUUGAAAUUAUUUUGAUUGAAUUUAUAUUGAUUGAAUUAUAUAAUAUAUAUGACUUACGUAGAAAUUUGAAUAUUGAAUGAAUGUUAUAUUGAAAAAUAUAUUGAUUGGAAAUAUGAGGAAAUUGAUAUGAAUAUAUGAGAUUGUGAUAUUUGAAUAUUUGGUAUUGAAAAGUGAAUUGAAUUGUAUUGAAUUAUGAAUUAAUGUGCAUAAUUGAAAUAUAUUUGUUGAAUUGAAUGAAAUUGUAUGAAUUGUGAAAAUGGGUAAAUAUGUGUAAUUAUCGGAAUGAGAUAUUGAUGAAAGAAUUAUUAAAUUGAGAAAGUGAAUGAAAACCCUAUUAACUAGUCGGGCUGAGUCGGAUAUAAUUGGCAUGCCAUAGGAUCUGGAAGUGUACGGGAUUUGCCGGCUUUAUCGAUCAGGCACUUUAUGUGUCGUAUUUCAGGCACCUCGUGUGUCGUACCAGGCACCUCGUGUGUCGUUUUAGGCACUUUAUGUGUCGUAUACUGAUCAGGUACUAUGUACCGUUUUAGGCACAAUGUGCCGUACUGGUGUGUUUGGGUUGGAAUCCGUGUAUCCGUCAAAGUCCGGGUUUGUUAAUAGGGGUAAAUAAGUGAAAUAUAAAUCGAAUAAAUUUGAUUGAUCAAGCUAUUGAAAUGAAACGAGAAAUUGAAUUGAGAAUUGAAAAUUUAGAUAUGAAAUUGAAAAUAUGAACCAAAGGUUCAUGAAAUGAUUGGAGUUCGAAUUGAUGAUAUAUGAUGCCACUUGAUGGAUUGAAAUGUGAUUUGAGAUAUAUGAAUCGUAUGUAUAUACUGAAAGUUAUCAGGGAUAAUAAGUUGAUAUGAUAUAAAUGAAAUUGACUGUUAUUGAAAUGAAUUAAAAUGGAAUAUUAUUGAUAAGUGUAUAGUUGAAUAUAGUUUAAUGAUAUUGAAUUGUGAAUAAGUUAAGAAAAGCUAUACUGAAUAGUAAGUGAAAGAAUAGAGUAAAUAGUAAUGGAUUUAUUUAAGAAUUGAACAAUUAUGUUAUUGUGUUUAUUAUAUGAACUGUAUAAAAUUUAUAUGGUAAGUAGUUGAAAUUUAUCUAUGAAUAAAUAAUUGCAUAAUUGUAAUUGUUAUAAUGAUCUUAAGUAUUUGUUAUAUUAUUAAUUGUUCGGAUUAUAGAAAUACCACUGAGUAUACCAUACUCAGCUUACGGUUUGUUUCCGUGCGCAGGUUAAGUAAAGAGAGUACGUUGAAUCAGCAUCCCAAGACGAUCUCGAAUUCAUUAAGGUAAAGUAUCUUGAGUAUUGAUAGUGGCAUGUACCCAGGAUGUUUAAUGAGAGUCAUUUAGGUUGUAAAAGUAUUGAUGAAAUGAGUAAAUUAUGGUUGGCAACGGUAUGUAGUAUGAAUUUUGAAAUUUACUAAAAAUUCGUAGUGAUUCUAAAUUAGUCCCGAAUUGAAUUUACUGUUCAUAUUGAACCGCGAGGGCCCAUUAAAGGGACGACAUCUUAAAACUAGGAUGUGUGUGAAUAUUUAUUUUAAUUAAUGACCGAAAUUAGACUGUACUGACUGGUAAUGUCUCGUAACCCUAUUCCGAUGACGGUAUAGGGUUAGGGGAUGUUACAAGGGUAACAGGCUAAAAAAUAUAGAUCUCCCCUAAACAGUAACGGAGCAGAUCGAAAACAGCAAGCCUUAACUCUCUAAGUAGAAGGGUAACAGGCUAGAAAAUACAGAUCUCCCCUAAACAGUAGCGGAACAGAUCGAAGACAGUAAGCCUUAACUCCCUAAGCAGUAGGGUAACAGGCUAGAAAAUACAGAUCUCCCCUAAAUAGUAGCGGAGCAGAUCAAAGACAAUAAGCCUUAACUCCCUAAGCAGUAGGGUAACAGGUUAGAAAAUACAGAUCUUUCCUAAACAGUAGCGGAGCAGAUCGAAGAUAGUAAGCCUUAACUCCCUAAGUAGUAGGGUAACCGGCUAGAAGAUACAAAUCUCCCCUAAAAAGUAGUGGAGCAGAUUGAAGACGAGUUCCUAUAACCCUAGAGAUGCAGUGGGUUAAAGCAAAGCUACUUGAAGUGGCCAAAAGAAAUCAGGACUCGACAGGUCCAGGCAAUUUUGGCCCUUUUGAAGUCUUUGCUCUGUUCUCGUUACACGACAAAGAGCAAAGAGGGCCAGCUGUGGGGUCCAAAAUUUGCCCGGCCCAAACUGCUAGAAACUAAAAUCCAACAAAAACAGACUCAAACCCAAAAAAUAAGACCUUACCCCAAACCCUAAAUACCUAUUUACAAAUACGGCCCAAUUGGCCCACAAACCCAAAACAUUUCGACAAGGGAAACCCUAGUAGCCCCUUUUGCGCCGUUUGUAAACAGCAAGCCUCUAGGCGCCGCACGUUGCGCGUCCCUUCGCGUCGUGCGCCUCUCCACUAUGCCACGUCAAUGGCACGCUCGAUCACGAACCUACAAACAUGUAAACAAGUUGUAAAAGAAUCAGCUAUAAAACAGAAUCGAAAUAAGUGUAAAAGGGAUCUUGCUUUUUUUGUUUUUGGAAUACAAUAGCAGAAAAUAUAUUCAAAACUCAAUAGCAACUCAAAAAACUGAUCUAAGGCUUGAAAGGUGCUUUUUGAUUCUUUUUUUUCCCUGGGAUUUCCUUUUGAUUCGUGUUUUUUUUUUACUUUUUUUCUUUUCGUGUUUUUACGAAUGUUUUUUUAAAUAAAAACUAAAGGAAAGGAGGGUACUUGGGUUUAUUUCUGGAACCGACAUCGGAGGCAGAGGCGCUGAAGCGCCGAUGACCCUCCAAUCUGGCUCCCCAAGGCAGGGUCGAAACCCAAGCAGAGAUGGGGGGAGUAUUUUUUUCUUUUUUUCCCUAAGAAAUCGAAUGGCCAAAUGAAUUUUGGCUUAAUUUUAGCCUUUUACCACCAAACAGCACCGUUUGGUGCUGGGCCUAUAUGUUUGACUCAAAAUGGGGGAUUUGCGCAUUGAGUCCCCUCUUUUUGCGCUUGCAUUCAAUCAGAGCAUAUUCAAGUCUUUUUAAUUCUUUUAAAUUGCCCCUGGAUCUUGCACGCCGUUCCGAUUUAGCCUGCACUUGGGCACUGCGUUUUGGGGAUUCGGGACAUUUGCAUUUUCGGUCUCGCGCAUUUGCGUGCAUUUAUGUUUUGGUCCUUAAUGCAUUUUUCUAUAUUUAUUAAUUAUCCCUUUGAGUCUGCUUUUCUUUCAAUUAAGUUUUAUUUCGCUAAUCCUAAGGUUUUAAUUUAUUUUAUUUUUAAUCUUUUUAUAAAUACUUUGAAUUAUUUUAAUGGUUGGGCCUUAUGUUAAUUUGCUUUUUUUAUUUUUAUUUUCUCCCUAACUAUUUAAUUAUAUAUUGUUUUUCAAAUUUCUUUUACAUAAUAUUAUUUUAAAAUUUUUGUAUAAUAUUACAAUUAAAUACUCUUAUAUUUGUUGUUAUACCUAUAUAAUUUAUGAUAAAAUUAGCUCUAUUCUAUAUACAUUAUUUCUUUUCUUUUCAUAUCAUUUUUUUGUAAAUACUUUCUUUUAUAUUUGUUAUAUAUACAUAUUUUUUCUUUUUAGGUUUAUUAUAUAUAUAUGAAUAUUUUCUUUUUCCCUUUUAAAUUCAUUUAUUCAUAAUUUCUUUUAAAAAUCUUUUUUUUUUCUGUAUAUUUUGAUUAUUUUGAAUACUUUCAUAUAAUAGUGUCUUUGUAUAUACAUUGUUUGCAUUAUUUUUUUAUCUUUUUAUUUGCAUACAUAUAUCGUUAGACAAAUGAAUUGGCUUUAUUUGAAAUUAUGUUAUAUGUUAUUUAUUAAGAAUUUCUUUUUGCAUAUUAUAUAAUUUAAUGACCAUUUAUAUUUUAUCAGCUGUAUGUACAAAUAAGGUAUUUCGAGCUCUAGCGUGUGUUAUCCCUUUGUCAAUUAUUUUCCAUAUAGGUUUUAAAUGGUUUUGUGUUAUGUUGGUUUCAAGUUUUCAUAUUGCUUUGUGCGUUAUGUGUCAUUUUUGGUCUUCAUAUGGCAUUCACAUUUUAUUGUUUCAUGCCUGUAAUUAUGUUUUAUUCCUUGUGACUGUAUCGUGUUUUCAAUUCCCACAUUCACUCGAUAUCAAUUGUCUUUUAUCCACAAGCAAACCAAACAAGCAUAUUCUGACUCGUCUUUUAUCAUCGUUAAUUUGAACCCUCUCAACUUAAGGAAUUAUUUCGUGUUUGAAGGUCCUAGAAAUCGUGCCUAAUCGUGUUGGGUUUCGAUUUUUUCGUUCAGCUAAAAUGCGGAAUAUCCUUUGGAAAUUUUGUCCAUUUUUUUUUAAAUUAAAAUGAGGCAAUAUUUCGUAUUUGGGGAGUUUGAGAGAUCGUGCCCAAUCGUGCUGGGUUUCAAUUUUUUUUCAUUCGACUAAAAUAUGGAAUAUCCUUUUUUGAAAUUUCAUUCAAGUUUUCUUAAACUAAAACGAGGCAAUAUUUUGUAUUUGGAAGUUUGAGAGAUCGUGCCCAAUCGUGCUGAGUUUCGAUUUUUCAUUCAACUAAGAUACGAAAUAUCCUUUCAACAUUUCAUCCAUGUUUUCUUAAAUUAAAAUGAGGUAAUAUUUCGUAUUUGGAAAUUCGAUAAAUCAUGCCCAAUCGUGCUGGGUUGCGAUUUACUGUUUGGCCAAAUAACCAAAUAUCCUUUUGAAAUUUCAAAUGCACGAGUUUUGGAAGUUACGAAAUGAUCUUGUAUUGAGGAUUUGAAAUAUUGUGUCCAAUCGUACUGGAUAUGAUAUUUUAUUCCUUUUGAACGAGAGAAUCUUGGCAUCUAAUUCAAGUAAUCUAAACGUUUUUUAAAGGAAUUGAAUUUCAAUAUCUUUAUCAAAUUUUCGACAUUAGGACAAUAAUUGAUCAAUACGGUACCAAUUUUGGGCGUUGCGAGGGUGCUAAUCCUUCCUCGCGCGUAACCGACUCUCGAAUCCGUCUUCUAGUUUUUUCGUAGACCAAAAACGUUGUUUUAAUAAACCAAAAUGUUUUAUUAAAAUGAUCGACCAUAAGGUGACCCAAUCACACCUAAACAAAAAGGAUUGAUGGUGACUCCAUAUCUCGUUUUAAAGUCGAUCCCCGUUUUUCAAAAUAAAAAUAGUUUCGACAAAAAGAAUACUAGGUUACUUACUUAAUCUAUUGAAUAGAUACUUGAAUAACGAAUUUUACAAAUCUCUUAAUAGCAUAAAAUUUAAUAAUAGAACUUUGAAAAUCAAAAUUCGAUUAAUAAAUUAAAAUCUUAAAAGAUAUAGGUUUCAUGAUAAUACUAAAAUAUUUCGGUUGUAUGGCAAACCUCGUCAAACUAAGACAUAAUUAAAUAAAUUAGUAAAAGCUUAAUUCAUGAUUUGGGUUUUAAAAUAUAUAUAUUAUUUUGAUACCUAAUUUUUUUUUCAAUUAAAUACCAAAACCUUAUGAAUUUAGUCCUUUAUUAAACAAAUGCUAAAAAUAAGGUUUAGCGAAUAAAAAUAACAGCAUGGCACAUUCUUUCCGAAAAAAGUAAAAAAUAAAAAAAAAAGUUUCUUUCUAAAACUUACUCUUUCUCUCUCCAUAAUUUCCUUUGAUCAUACCCUUCCUCCAAUCAAUUUCUUUUGUUUCAUUCCCUUCCACCUUUCAUAAUUUAUUUUCCUUUUCCUUCUUUCAUCUUCUUCACUGCAACUCUAGCGCCAUUUUCUUCACUACAAUAGAAAUGUAAAAACGCCAUGACUUUGGAAGUAAUCAUAAACAUCCAAUGUUGAAGAGUAUUUCCAUAAAAUUCAUACUGCAGUUGACAUCCAAAUCCUUUGGAAAUAAGUUCUCAAUAGCAACCUUAAAAUAUUUUCAAAAUUACAGAUGAGAGCCCCAAAACCCUACUGCAAUAUUUAUUGAUAAAAAGUAAACAGAGCUAGAAAUUCAUAAAUCAGGCAACCUCCAAAAAAAAAAACCUUAAAAUCUCAAACUCAAAACAAGUAAUGAAGCUCUCACCUUAACUGAGAACAGGGCAAUCAAAUUCACUAAAAUAGAUAGGCUAGGAGAAAAGUUAAAUUCUUUUCAACAAAGAUUGAAAUUUGAUGAUAAAAAAGCAACGCUUAACCUUUAAACAUAUCUGGGUUUGCGAAGUUUGGCCAAAAAAACAAUAAUUUAAUAGGAAAUGGUAUAAACACAUGAUAAUAAGAAUGUAAUACUGCAAUAGAAUUGUAUUUAUAAAUUAAUGAUUAUUAAAAAGAGAGCUCACCCUUUGGCGCUUGUUCUACAGAUUCCAAGCAAAGUCAGAGUAUAUAUAUAAUUAAAAGGAAAUAGUAAUAAAUUUGCAGCUGAUGAGAGAAGACUUAAUGCUCUUAUUACCAAAGCCACCAAGGUUUUCGUUGAAGAAGUUUGAAACUGCUCUAUGUUUAUUGUUUAUGUUUACUUUCAAUUUUCUUUUAUCUUUUCAAUCCUAGCACUGUGUUCAUUGUUUAUUGUUUGGCAGCUAUGGAGUUGCAAUGAAGAAAAUGGCUAUGGAGUUGCAGUGAAAAAGAUGAAAGAAGGAAAAAGGAAAAAAUAUUAUAGAAGGUGAGGAGUUUAAUUGAUGGAAGGGAAUGGAACAAAAUAAUUUGAUUGGAGGAAUGAUAUAAUAAAAGGAAAAAAUGGAGAGAGAAGGAGUAAGUUUUAAAAAAAUAUAUUUUUUAUUUUUUUCCGGUCAAAAUGGACAGGAUGUGCCAUGCGAUAUAUUUUUAUUCACUAAACCUUUUUUUUAAUUUCCCUUUAAAAAAAACUAAAAAUCAUAACAUUUAUAUAUAUAUAUUGUGAUAAAACAAACAAAAUGAUUACUAACUUCUAAUCUAAACUAAAGGAGUAUCUUUGACUAAAUGAAGACCCUUAUUCCAUUCAAAAGCCAUCUUACUAAUAUAAUCAACUUCAAAAUUCAUUUCGCAAGGAAUAUACUCAAGCUUCCAUUAACCAAUGUCUAACAAGUUCUGUUGAAUGUGUUGGAUAAGUGCUGAAGAAGAUAUCUUGUAGAAGGAUUCUUGAAUAGCUUGAAAAGCUUCCUAACUCUCUGUUCUAAUCAACAAUCCAUCAUACUUUCAGCUUUUUAAAAUCUUCAAGCCAUCAAGAAUGCCCCAAAAUUCUACAUUAAAUACCGAGCACCAACCCAAACUCCUAUUAAACCCAAUGAUCUAACCUCCAUUACGAUCCUUUAAUACCCCUCUAGUUGUGGCCAACUUAGAAUUUAACUUCACAACUCCAUCUGUAUUCAAAAUGACCCAAUUACCUUUCUCAAUAACUGACAUCUCGGUACUCAGCCCAUAGAAUGCGGUGCCUUUUGAGAAGAGGUAUAUUGUAAGGCCCAACUGUAUGAAGUUUUGAUCAUUUCACCAGUACUCCACUGAAUUUCUUGAAAUAUGAGAAUAUUUCGAUUCUUCCAAAUAUGCCACACUAUUAGGCCAAAGAAGCACUGCCAAUCCACAUCCCUUAAGGAAAGUCUAUAUCGAUUCCCCAAAUUGGAUUCAAGCCAUUCUUGUAAGUUUUCUGAAAGAAAUUGUCAUGUAUUUCCACUGAUAUAAGUCACGACCACACUUCUUUAGUUGUAGAACAAUUUCUAAAGGCAUGAACAACAACUUCAGGUGCAUUUCCACACACUGUGCAACACUUCUCAUACCCUAAUCCUUGCCUUACUCGUUCCACCUAUGUGAGUAACCUCUCUUUAAAAGCAAGCCAAAGAAACAACCAAACCCUCUGCGGUUGCGAAAAUUUCCACACCAUCUUCCAAAUUGUAACAACCCGAUAGUCAUGGGUAAUCGGAAAGUGUAUAUUCGGGUCUCCGUUUUCAUAAAACGGAUUCGUAAAUAUUUAUUAAAAAUAUUUACGAAGUUAGUUGUAUGGUUAAUUAGGUUUUAGUUAGAUAAAUUUGCAUGAAUUAAGGGUAAUUAGGUAUAAAGACUAAAUUGCAUAACGGGUGAAAGUUCAAUUAUAGAUUAAAAAAAAGUAAAGGGACUAAAUAAGAAAUUAAGCCCUAUUUAACAAGUGUAUGGUAAAAAUAAUUACAUGUGUAAAAAUAAUAUACAUAUGUAUAUAAUAAUGUAUGUAAUACUUAAUAUUUAAGUAUAUAUAUUAUAUUAUAUUAUAUUAUAUUAUAUUGUUAUAAUAAUUAUAAAAGAAUAAACAAAUAAAUAAAAGAAAUGAAAUAGAAAAAGGAAUAGAAACAUAGAAGUAAAAACGAAAGAAAAAGAAAGAAGGAAAAGAGAAAGAAAAAUGAGAAAAAAGCUAGGGUUUUCAAAGUUCAAAGCUCAAUUGCUAAUGUAGUACUGGAACCCUCAACUAAAAAGGGAAAAGAUAAAGUUGAUGAGGAAUAGCUCGAAAUUUUUGGUUUGUAUUUCUAUAAUCCGAAUUUAGUUGUUAAUUAUUAUAAUUUAAUUUAAUGUACAUGGUAAGUGUUGAGGUGAGAAUUAUUGUGUUUUGCAAUGGAAAUGGAAUUGAUUUAGUAUUUGAUGAAUUUAUUGAAUUUAUAUUGAUCGAAUUGAUAUACAUAUAUAUAUACACAUAUUGAAUAUAUUAAUUACCUGAAAUGAAAUAAAUAUCGAUUGUAUUUGAAAAGUAAAUUGAAAACCCUAUUAACUAUAUCGGGCUGAGUUAGAUAUAGAUGGCAUGCCAUAGGAUUGGAAGAGUUCAGGGAAUUCUUCGACUUCGAGUAGAUAAGACAUUGGGUAUCAAUUUAUUACUUCAGAUUAAUUCGAUGAGGCACUCAGUGCCAAUUUACUUCGGUUUAGCCGAUGGGACACUGGUUGUCAAUUUAUUACUUCGAAUUAACUGAUGAGGCACUGGGUGCAAACUGGUGUGUUUUGGUUAGAUCCAUGUAUCUGUCCGAGCCCGAGUUGUGUUAAUAGGGUUAAAUGAAUAAUAAAGUUUUAUGAUUAAUAUUGAAAUGGUAUGGUAUGAGAAAUGGAAGUGAAAUAGUGAAUUGAAAAUAAAAUGUGAAAUAUGUUGCAAAUAUAUGGAGUAUAUGAGUUAUAUACUCAAGAAAUGAUUAUGGAAUGGAUAAUGCAAUUGUAUAAUGAAAUGUGAAAUGAAUUGUGAAAAGCUAUUUAUAUAGCAAGUAUGAGAAUUGAGAUAUUUGUGAAAUAAAUGAAAUAUGAUAUGGUUUUGUAAAAAUUAAAUAUUAAUAUGUGUUUAUAUUUCAAUUGUAUAUUUGUAAUUUCUUAUCUUUAAUUAUUCGAAUUAUUGAAAUACCACUAAGUUUUUACUCAAUGUACGGUUUUGUUUUCCGUGCGUAGACUAGGUACAGUGAUUUUGAAGAGUUGUAAUUGAGGUUGUGAGCAUCCAUCUCAUCACAUCUCCAAGUGCCAAGAGGGUAUGUUUCAAAAAUUUAAAUAAAAUGUCAUGUACUUAGGAAGAUCAAGUGUGUUCCAAGUAGUAGGGACAAAAAUAUAAGUUAUGAAAACUUAAUUUUUUUUUUAGAUGUUAAAAUAUAUUAGUGAUUAGCCAAAAUCACUUUGGCACCAAAUGUAAUAUUCCUAUAUCAGGUUCAUUGGAUCGAACCAGGUAUAGGGGUGUUACACAAAUAUAAUCUCUUAAAUAACAUGACCCCUCUCUAAGCAUCCGAUAGGCACUCUGUACCAAAAAGGCCCCAUAAACAGACCCACCCCAAGUGAUUUUAUCUAGUCCCACAGAAGGCUGUGGGGGAGGAAUACUUACAAUGCAUUUGGUGAUUUCAUUAGAGAGUCAAACACGAAACAUAUCCAUAUUCCAUGAUCUAUUCUCAAUGACCAACUCUUUGAGGGAACAGUCUAAAUCAAAGUUGGAAUGAGAAAGAAUGUGAUUAACCAAAGGGCUAACCACUGGUAUCCAAUUAUCCUUCCAACAUCUAAUGCUUUCCUUGUUACCUACUGACCAAAAUAAAUUGUCUCAAAGAAAAGGCCAAAUUCUAGAAAGAGACCUCCAAAGAAAGGAACACUUAUUACAAUAUAUGUCUUUUGGAAUGUCUUCUGAAAUGCCUUCUUUAACCCUAUACUUAGAAAGGAACACUUAUUACAAUAUAUGUCUUUUGGAAUGUCUUCUGAAAUGCCUUCUUUAACCCUAUACUUAGAUAUGAGAACUCGCACCCAUAAUGAUUCCUUGUUAGAUACCAUAUUGAAACCCAAUUUCAACAUAAAGGAAUUAUUUUGGUCUUUAAGUUAGCGAAAUCUAAGCCUAUCGCAAGCCUUUGGUUGAUAAGUUGUUUGCCAACUAACUAGUGAUACCUUCCUACUUAUCCCAUUCGUCCCCCAAAUGAACUUCCACACUAGACAUUCGAUUUCUUCACUUAGCCCUUGAGGAAUCAUUAAGGACUGCAUGAAAAAAUUGAGGAUAGAUACUAGAACAGAUUGGGCUAGAGUAACCCUCCCGGAAAUAGACAAUUUCUUAACAUCCCAACUCUAUAACUUGUUUUGAACCUUGUCCACUAUAAACCGCAAGGAACUGUUCGUUACCCUUUCAUUAAAUAAGGGAACUCCAAAAUAUUUUCCUAGAUUCUGAGUCAUUUAAAAUCCAAGAGUAUCGUACAACUUCCUUUAAAAUUCCUCAUUCACCUCAUUAGAGAAAACCACAUUGAUCUUAGACACAUUGAUCUGAUGCUCUGAAAAAGCAUAAAUUUCAUCCAAAAUUUUUUUAAUCAAACUAACCUGUUGAAUGUCAGCUUGACUAAAAAUGACCAACUCAUUUACAAAAAAAACAAAUGAGAAAAACGUCGGACCAGAGCGGGACAAAUGUAUAGGACACCAUUGCCCAGAAUGAAUAUUAGACUUAAUGCAGAAUCCAAGUCAUUCCAUGCAUAAGACAGAGAAAUAUGGUGAAAGAGGACAUACAUGCCUAACUCCUCUUGCCAGACGUAAGUUUUAGUAGUUGCCCCAUUCCACAGCAUCUGCAUAAAAGAGCUUGUAAUAGUUGACAUAAUAAUAUUUUUAAGAAAUACAAGAAUACCUGUAGCCUGAAGAGAAGCGUCAAUAAAGUCUUACCUAACCCAAUCGUAAGAUUUUUCCAAGCCUAUUUUGAUGGCCAUCCACCUUUUGUUCUUUUGUUUGAUUCUUAUGGAAUAUAUUACUUCGUGAGCCACAAUGAUGUUAUUCGUUAUAUUCCUGGCUGCAAUGAACCCUACUUGCUCCGAUGCUAUGAUUUUAAGGAAAACCACCUUGAACCGAUUGAUGAUGAUCUUUAUGACCAAUUUACAGAGAAUCGAAUAUAAGCUUAUCAACCUAAAUUCAGCAUAACUCUUAAGGUUAGGGACCUUUGGUAAAAGGACAAUAAGCGAAUUAUUGAGCUCAGGGUCAAUAGCAUGUCUUGCCAAAACCCUCUAAACCCACUUACAAACUGCACCGCCGACCAAGCCCCACUGAUUCUGGAAGAAAAAUGCAUGAAACCCAUAACUUUUCAUAGCUUUUAAGAGGGCCUUGUCAAACAAUGUAGCCUUAAUAUCUUCCCUUGAAACCUUUUUCCCCAGAAACACAAUGCCAUCCACUGCUCGUGUGUCGUUUGAUGAGUUCUUUGAGGUGCAAGUCAGUGAGUUAGACGGCCUAACACACGGCCUGACACAUGAGCGUGUGGGGCAACUCAGAGAGUUACACGACCUAGUAGAGGGGUGUGUGACACGGCCAUGUGACCCUACUCAAAGAGUUACACGAGUGAGGACAUGGGUUGAGACACGUUCGUGUAUCCCUAGUUCAAUUGUUACACGACUUGGCCACACAGCAAUGUGACCUCUAUUUUGCAAAUUUUGUAUCUUUUUCCUAAACUUCCCAAACUAUUUCAAAUUGUUUCCAAGUUAUUUUUAGGGCCUCAAGGGCUCGAUUUAGUGAUAUGUGUAUGAAUAUUUUAUGAUGUGAUUAUAACAAUGAAUGACAAUAUGUUUAAGUGGUUCUAGUUAUUUAGUAAUACUCUGUAACCCUAAUCCGGCGACGGAGGCAAGUUAGGGGUGUUACAAUAAAACUUUUAUAUUGUAUUCAAUUGUUGUUAUGAUUGAAUUAUUGAAAAUUUUAAAUUGAGUUAUCCGUUGAAUGCCGUAACUGUUUCGUUUUGUACUGUAGCUUUUCGUAGUUCAGUGCCGACGAUCGAGACAAACUAGGGGUGUUACAUAAACUGAGGUCGAGGAUACCGAAGAAGAUUGAGUGGUCAAAAGCUGAGAACGAUUUAGCUCUCCUCGUACAAAACAUAAGUAUGAUCCAGCUAAAUAGAUUUAUUGUUGUAAACAUCCCAAGUAAUUGGUUUUGAAAGAAAAUUUUUUAAUUUUCGCUAUUCAUUAUUUCAAUGCUUUCAACAUUAUCUUCUUUAAGAGGGUUAAUAUCAAAAGAAUAAAAUUGAAAAAUUCUUAUAGUUUAACAACCUAGGAAAAGAAUCUCUCAAAGAUCGAUCAUCUAUCCAUUUGUCUUCCCAAAAGCUAACACUCGAUCACCCAUCUACUUGGUUCCUAACUAACAACUCCAAACCCUCAUGAUCAUUAACUUGUAGAAUAUAUUUUGACAUGAUGGAUAUAUCCUGCACAUGAGAGCAAUUAGGGGUCCAAGAAGUCCCAUUGCCCAUCUUUUUUCCAAAAUCAACAUCCUCGAUUAAGAGUUGUUAUCCACUCCAUAUCUCCACACCAUUUGCAGAGAGUUGCCUAGUUUUUAUUGACAGUUUUAGAGAUGACCAAACCAUCGAAAGCCCUUGGGUUGAAAAUAACCUUCCAUCUUAUUUUCGACAUAUAGCAUUUAUCAUCCCCUCUUCUCAUAAAAAUUGCCUACAAAUCUGUUCAAGCUUCUUUAGUACAACCUUUGACACUUUAAACACAUAAAUUAUAAAUAGGUAACGCGUUCAACAAAGAUUUGAUGAGUGCAAUAUGAUCACCCAUCAAUAAGUAAUUUCAUUGCCAAAGGGCCAAUCUUUGUCUAACCUUCUAGAUGAUAGGUUUCCAGGUGCUGAUUCGUCUCGAAUUCGCUCCCACAGAAAUCCCCAAAUAAGCCAGAGGAAAACGACCCAACUCACAACUAAUGAUACUAGCUACCACAAUAGCUUUACUCUCUUCAAUUCCAACAGGAUGAAUUUUUUAUUUAGACAAAUUAAUAUGCAAACCUGAUACCAAUUCCAAAAAUUCCGGGACUACUUUACCACAAAGUCUGAUCCUCUUUUGCCUCAAAAAAUAGUAUGAUAUCAUCUGCAAAAUACAGAUGUGAGAUGCAAAAUCUAGACUCAAAGAUCUUAAUACACCUGAAGUUAAAGCAUCCACCAGCUCUCUAGCUGUAGCAUUAAAUGAAAUGAUUCAACAACUAAAAUAAAGAAGAAAGGGGAGAGGGGAUCUCCAAAUCGUAACCUUUUAAACAUUUUAAAAUUCUUAAUAGGGGACCCAUUGACCAAAACAGACACCCAUGCCAAAGAAACACACUCGUAUAUCCAAGCAACCAAUUUAUGCCCGAAGCUCAUCUCCUCCAUCACAUUGAAAAGGAACUUCCAUUAGAGACUAUCAUACGCCAUCUUUAAGACAAAUCCUCCAUCAUUGCACCUCUUUUUCUUCAUGCUGUCCACUACUUCAUUUGCAAGUAAAAAUCCAUUGAGAAUUUGUCUACCUCUAAUAAAAGUUGUUUGGGUAUCUUUUACACGAAAAUCAAUGACUCCUCCUAGCAUUCUAGCCAAAAAAAUUUUGCAAUAAUUUUAUAAAGAGAAGAGACCAAACUAAUCGGUUGAUAUUUGGAUUGUCUACCUUCGAAAUGAGCAGAAGGAACGUAGAAUUAACAGCUUUAUCAAUUCUGCUUGAAAUAAUGAAAUCCCUCACAAAGUGCAGCAGAUCCUCCUUGAUGAUAGCCCACGAAUGUCUGAAAAAGUUGAAAUCGUACCCAUCGGGCCUUGAGGCCUUUGAUUCAUCACAAUCCCAUAUUUCUCCUUUGAUUUCCUUAAUAGAUACCAUAUGUUCAGGCUCCUUUGGCUGUUAUUUUUGCAAUUUCCUAAAACUGAAUCCCUUAAUAAAAGGUCUUUCCCAAUCAUCAUUUGAAAAAUGCUUUCUAAAAUAGUCCCCCGCCACAUUUUUUAUCACCACUUCUCAGCCCCUCAAUAACAACUCUUUUAGCUCGGAUCUUCGCUUUGCACUGGAGAAAUUUCGAGAGCCAUUUGACUCCAGAUUUCUGCUUCCAUAAAGCCUCACGUGCAUGGAACAAUCUCCACAAAUCACCCAUUCUAGACUUCCUUCUAAUACAGUUCGAUUCUGAAAGGAGGCCACAAUCACCUUUGUUAUCGAGAUUCUCGAUCUGAGCUUCUACUUCCAAGAUUCUUUGAGUUAUAUGAUAACUUAAAACCGGUGAUAUAUAUGGUAAUAACUUUUGAGUUAGUAGUUGCACCAAAAUUGAUAACUAUUGUCCCAUUGUGCUUAACUCAAAUUUAUACAAGUAAGCCUCUUCUAUGUAAUCAAGGACCCAAGUUUUUAGUCAACCAAAGCAAACAAAGGCUAAUUAAUCUUACCCUCCUUUCUCUUUAAUUAUCUCCAAACUAGGAUCUUUUUUACACGGAAAAGGAAAUAUUCCUUAACUUGGGCACAUGCAUGAUUAAUCAUAAGGGUCCCUUCAAACAGUUGCAAAUUUGUAAUUAAUAGUGAUAUUAGUAGGCCUAGAAGAAAAGGGGGGGGGGGCGGGGGGGAGGGAAAAGAAAAUGAUUGAUCAAAAAGGCUAACAGUUAAAUCAGAAGGUGAGGUGAAGUCAACCUAUUACAUACAAUCGGCAUUUAGGCAAGGGAUAAAAGCAAUAGAUACAGACAAAAUAUGCCAUAUUCAUUGCAUUUGGAGUUCUAGAGACAAAAAAUGCACAGGAAACCCCACAAAAGAAGAAGCAAAAUUAUAAAAAGGAAGAAAGUAGCAUUCAGAAAAAAAAAACAAAGUAAUGCCCUUCAUUUGAUAUGUCAAAACCUUAAAGUUAUAUAUUAAUUGCAAUGGCAAUAAAUAUAUAUUUAUAUCACCAACAAAUAUUGGGUGUAAAAAUAAAAUUACAAAUGCAAAUAUUAAAAAUAAAAUUAUUGAAAGAAAUAAUUACAAAUCUUUAUAAAAUGUACUUAUAGAAUACCAAAUAUAUAUUUAUGCCAUUGUUUCUGAUCAAGUUAAUUACAUUGGAAUAAAUAUAAAAUAAUAUAAUCCAGUUACAUAUGCAUAAACAUAGUGUAAUGGUGAUCUACAUUCAGAUGGAAACAUAAUUAGCAUCAUUAUAUUAAAUGUAUAAUCCCUAUUGGUAAGCUAAGCUUGCCGUCGGUACUUGGUAACACUCCUGCUUAUUUCUCAUCAACAUAUAAAAAUCAAUGCUAUUUUGAUUCAAUAAUUUCUCAAAUUCACCGACAAUGGUAAGAAUAGUGUGUUGUAGAUAUAAUAGUUGAAAUUUGAUCCAAACAAUCUCAUUUCUCUCCCCUAAUUAUAAUAAAGAAAUUUGUCAAAUUCAAUUUUUUUUCAUUAAAAACGUCAAACCUAUAUUAAUUAAUAUGUCCAAAAUGUUAAAUCUAAAUAGGUUAGAGGAAAUAAAAAAGAUCAUAGGGAAUAAAUAUAUUCAAAUCACAGAAAUGAUAGCGUAUAUAUAGUCAUAACCCUAACUGAAGAGAUCGAUGCACUAGAGUAUAUGAAAUAUAUAAAAUCUGUGUAAUAAAAUUGCUAAAAGAGAUCAGUAGUUGAACUGCUCAUCUGAUCAAAGAGCAAUCUUUAUUGUCAUAUAAAUCGAAAUACAUAUAAAAGCAGAAAGAAAUUACAGUACUUAGAAUUGUUAUAAUAUUCAAGACAAGAGAGAGAGGGAGAGAGGUUUGAUCAAACACAUACAUGGUAUACAAUAUUAACUCAAACCAUCUUCAAUCACCUAAACCAAAGGCAAACAAAAGUCUGCUUUGGAGCAUAGAUAAGAUCUCAGAUGCUGUAAAAUCAAAGAAAAAUCCAUACAGAAAAAAAAAAAAAAGGAAACAGCUCCCCAAACAUGUGCAGCAGUAAAUAUAUGGUAUAGUAUUAGGUUUUAGUUGAUAUGUAGCAUACAAAUCGGACCAUGAUGCUUCAUUUCCCCAAGAAAGAAGAGAAAAGAAGAAAAGAUGAAGUAAAAUGAAAAAGGCCUUUGUUCAUUGAUGAAGAAAAGAGAGAACCCUUUAACUCAGUGAAGAAGGCAUGCAGAUGGAGGAGGUAGGGUUUCGUUUCUUCUUCUUGAGAGAAACCAUCUUCUUCAUCUAAAUUCUAUUCUUCCUUGUCUUUUUUCUUUUUCUUCUUCCUUUUCUUGGUGUUGGGAGCUGAGUUGGGUAAGGCGGUGAGUUUUGUGCGGUUGGUAGAUAGCAAAACAUGGAGUGGCGAUGAUGAAAGCUAAGGGUUAAUGAUGAGAGGAAGCAGAGGGGAGAGGACAUGAUGAUUGCUGCACCUUUUUUUUUUUUUUUG